CAUUGAUUUCUGUGCACCCUGAAAGGUCUAGCUUUGUAACAGACCACAGUCCAUGAUCAUCUCUUAACUUAUUCCCAACAAUUUUAAGCUUGUUACACUCAGAUAGGCCAAGCCAAGUAAGUUUGCUAUUGCGCCAAAUCGAUGAAGACAAUUCACGUAUAGCAGUGCCGCCUAAGGUCAACUCUGUCAUUUCCUCCGAUGUCACCAAAAAUUCUGUGAGAGUUGAACAACCAUCGAGUAAGAGUUCACGAAGAGAUUUUGAAUGAAUGUUGGUUUUAAGGCUUUCAAUCUUUUUGCAACCUCGUAAAUCUAGAUAUCUAAGAUCAGGGAGACAGAAGAUGGAAGGAUGGAGCUGACACAGGCUUUCACAUUGAAAAACACUCCAUGAAGAUUUGUAUCCUUAGAUAAGUCUGGGAUCUCAAUCAGAUCUUUGGAGGAUUCAAGCCGGAGUAUGUUUAGAUUCACAAGAUUCUGUAACAAUAAAUAAACAUGACAUUGCUUAGAAACCAUUAAAUCCAUAAUUAAGCAUAAAUAGAGACUUCUUAAGAAUGUGCAUCAGACUUCCUCUCAUACCUAAAUAAAUUAACACGUACGUAUAUCCAAACACAUUUGUACCUGAACUCCAUCCCAGAGCUUUUUAAGCUUGCUAUGACCCAUGUGAAGCUCUAUGAGCAUUUCAGCACAAAAGGUUGGUGGCAAAGACUCAAGGCAGUAUCCCUCCCACAUAAGGAACCUCAAUUUAUUAGAAAGCCACUCAAGACCGUCGGGAAAGUGCACAUUGCAUGUUCUCCCAUUAGAUAUAUUAUAGAUUUUAAGAUAUCUUAAGUUUGUCAUCCUUCUAAAGGAAUCAGACUUUAAGUAAAGAUUCCCAACUUCUGUACUAUCAAAUGUUAUACCUUCCACAACUCCCGUUCCCUACCAAACAAAAAUCAGAUUAUUAAUUAGGAAAGGAUGUAAUAAAUGUUUGCUUGUUAUAUUUCAUAACCACAAACAUGUGUUUUCAUAUGGAAGUAAUUGCAUUGUCUACUUACCUUGUUUUUUUUCAAUACAUCAGAUAUUUCUUCAGCAUUCCACAAUCGACUUCGUUUUCCAGGGUUCUUAGAUUCUUGAUUAACAAUCUCUCGUCCCAUUUCUUGUAACAAAUCAUGCAUUUCUAUACCAUCAACGUCCGACUUGACAUAAACAUGCCAUAUUUUUUUUAGUUGUAUGAGAGAUUUAUCUAGAAGGACUUCUAUCCCACUUACUGCAAAGAACUCACAAGCUUCCAAAAGUUUUCUUACGAAAGAUUUACUCUCUUCUCUCAGCAAGCAUGCGUUGUCUAGAAAUAUGGCCUUUUGACAACAAUCUAAGUCAUCAUAACUCAAUUUUAAUACAUUGUAAAUUUUCGUAUUGGGAAUCUUUUGGAGCUUUUUCAAUUCAUUUUCCCAUUCAUCUUUGCCUCUUGAACUCAGAUUAGCACCUAAAACUUUUAAAGCCAGAGGAUUGCCUUUGCAAUAGGCAAUUACACUCUCUGAUAGAUCUUCAUAUCCAAUUUUAGGAUGUUUUUCCUUGAAGACAGUCAAACUGAAUAGCUGAAAAGAAUCAUGAUUAUUCAAUUCCUUAACCUCGUAUAUUUCACAUUUACUGAACUGACUAAUUAUGUGCUUAUCUCUAGUUGUAAUAAUGACCCUACUACCGGGUCCCAGCCCAUCAAUUUUUAGGAUAAAAUCUUCUAUUCUCUCUAAGGUUUCCACGCCAUCCAAUACAAUUAUAACUUUUUUAAGCGCAAUCCUUCUUUCGGAGAAAGGGACUUCUAUGUAGGGUGCAUCAGGAUGAAGAUUUUCUUCCUAUAACAAUGAAGAUAAAAGUUUAUUGUAUACAACAUUGAGUCCAUACUUGUUUGAUUCAUCCAUUACAUUGAGGAAGCAACGACCUUCGAAUUGGGAAUAAAGUUUAGCAUAUAAAGUCUUAGCAAGGGUUGUCUUUCCUAUGCCACCCAUGCCCCAUAUUCCAAGGACUUUAACAUCAUUUGACCCAAUUUUCAGCAUUGAUUCAAUUUGUUUAUAAUUUUUCUCAAUUCCAACAAGACCCUUAAUUUCAUAUGGGUAUCUAAGAUUUAGUUUCCUUAAAACAUCUUCAACAAUGUCCUUAAUGAAGUCCACUUCAAUCCUUGCACAUGAAGGAAGGAAAGGUCUUACAAGUCUAACAAAUACAAUAGAAGAAAAAUACAUCUAUAUGAUUAGUAUACAAAUUUGUAGUCAACAUGGUGGCAUUAACAUCUAUUUUUUCUACGAAGUGAAAUCCUAAAGAAAUUCCAAAAAAUCAAAAAUCAAAAAAAGGUUUUUAUGCUACCCAAACGAUAAGAUGAUGUAUUCUUUGUAUUUAGAUUUAAGAGUAUCAAUUGAGUGAUAAGUGUAUGCAGGGUACAAGAAUAUGUUGACUUUGAAGACUCCUACCCUCUUCCCAAUAGUAAAUAACUGUGCUAUAUUAGAAUACAAAACAUGCAAAUGAUAGGAAAUAGUUUAUUGAUUUUACUUUGAAUUUUGGAAACAUACAAGUGAUGAACAUAUCCAAAGCUGGAUAGUUUGUUUUAUUUACCUAUAAUUUUGAGAGUCCCAUCCAACUAAAUUAGCUGCCUCAGUGAGAGAGGCUUUCCAUUUCUCCAACUUGGCAUUAUUGUGCUUCAAAUCUUGCUUAUGUUUUGCAAAGGCUUGCUUGUAACUCCCGGUUUGCUUCCUCACAUGUGAUGGAUCAAUGUUGUAAAAAAUAGGUAUCACGAUCUGUUCCAUAUAUUGCUUGCAUUCUAGAAUCUUUUUGAGAUCAUUCAAACACCAUUUUGAGGAAGCGUAGUUUUCUGAGAAGAUGACAAUAGACACAUGUGACUCCUCAAUGGUUUUGAUGAGUGUUGGUGAGAUCUCAUCUCCUUUUUGAAGGUCAUUGUUGUCUAUGAAGGUUUCAACUUUCUUUCGACUCAAAGCAUCAUAAAGAUGGCUUGUGAAGUUUCUGCGAGUAUCCUCACCUCGAAAGCUAAGAAAAACGUCAUAUUUUUUCGGAGGCCCCACAUAAGAAGAAGAUAUAGAGGAAAAAGCACUGCUCAUUUUCUGCGCGGCGGUUAUGAUUUCCAAAUGCCUGCACUAAGCCACUAAUCACAAUGCUACAAUAAAAAAAAGUAUUGGGCUUCAUAAAUUUGAUUAUCAUUUGGAAUCAUUUUUGGCAGCAUAACAAAAAGAAUGGCAACAUUCAAAGCGAGCCUAACAAAAAUAAGGCAAAUUCUAUAUUACACCCAAUAUAUUUGAGUGUAUCGGUACAUCCACUCUUUAAAUUAAUAGUUAAAUGAGUUUUUUUUUGAAGAAAAAUAUUAUUUUUUAUCAUUUAUUAUUAUAAUAACUAAAUCUUAUUCAUAAAAAAUAUCAACAAAAUAAAAUUAUUAUUUUUUGAAUUUUUAUUGCUCAUAAUUUAUAACAUUUAUUAUUUUUUACGAUAAUAUGUAAAAAAAAAUACUAUGAUUGUCAUAAACAAUGAAAUGAUUUUUUUUUUUUUUAUGAACUGAUGUUAUAUAAAAUAUAACUAUUGACAAAGAGCUAUUUAUUACAUAAAAAAUUAUCGUUAAUUUAUAAAAUUAUGAAGAAGGAGUACCGGUACACCUCACUUUGUGAGUGUACCGUAGAAGUUUCCCAACAAAAUAAUUACAAUAAUAUAGAUGAAUGUCUUGAGACAAUUUAUUUUUGGCGAUUACUUUCUCCACCCUAUAAGGUUCUCACACGUCCUUUUUUUUUUCUUUCCAAAUUGCCCCUUAGAUUUUAGAAAAUGAAAACCAAUUCCAAAUAUAAAUUCCGAAACAUUUCGCUUUAUAAAAGCAAGAUCAGCAACUUCCACCAUUUUACAGUUUUAGUUUUACAAUUUCACUUUCUCUCUCUCUCUCUCACCGAUCCCAUAAUCCUAAAAUAUUGGUCCAAUCUUUGAGUUUUUUUUGCUCAAAAUCAUCACAUUUGAAGCUUUAUCAAACCCCAUAGUGAAGGUUAGGUCUCAUUCCAUCUGCAUACAAGCCUUUGAGUUCGAAUAUUUUUUUUGUGGCAACUGAAUAUGUUUGGAUUAUAAAAUCCAAACUGGAUUGUUGAAGUUCAGAUUUUAUAAUCUGAAGUGUACCUGUAGGCAGAUUUUUGGACAAUUUUGUGGAUUUAUAUUGAUUGCGUUUUACCUGGUUAUGCAUGUUACAAGCAUGGAUCGUGUUGGGCGCACCGUGGGUGAUGGAGAAGCAAUGCAUGUUUAUGUUUGGAGAGAGCGUUUGGAGAGGUUGCAAGCGGAGGGGAGAGUGCCCAGGCGUGGCAAGGGCAGGGAAAGGGCACGCCGUGGUGAUGCUGAUGGCGAGGGAACAUCUCAGGGGAACUAUAUUGAGCUUGAGCCACAGAGGGAGAUAAGAGAAGGUGGAGGGUGAUGUUGAGCAACAGGAGGAGGGUGAUGAAGAGCAGCAUGAGCGUGUGCAGCCAAAGCCAAAGGAGCUUGAUCACUAUCUUGGUGGCCCACACGACUUGACUGUGCUGACCAAGUACCAUGUUCACGUGGUCAGGAUGGCAGUUGAUGAAGUGGUAAGACACUGCACCUUUAAUUUAAUGAAAAUUGAAUUUUUAUGUUUAAUUAAUAAUAAUUGUAAACUUUUUGUUAAUUUUUGUCAUGUAUUAUUUCGAUUACUGUGAAACUGAUGUUAAUUUUUUGUUUUAAAUUUUAGCAGUGCGGUGACAAUUUAAAAUGUGUAAACAACAGGAAGAAGAUAGAAGCGAUACAUAAACCAAAGGUUUAAAUGUAUUUCAUCCUUGCAAUUAAGGGUCGUUUAAAAAUUGGUCCCUGUAUUCGCUAAUCCUUGCAAACUAGCCUUGCAAUAAUUAAUCAUUUAAAAUUUCGUCCUUUGACCAACUUAAUCACUGCCACGUCACUAAUUUGAUGACGUGGCAAUCACUAUCACACAUGAAAUUCCAAUUUUUCUCUUAAGAAGAGGACAAAAUAUUGAAGAAAGAAUUAGAAACUCAGGGGUAAAAUUGGAAUUUCAUGUGUGACAGUGAUUGGCACGUCAUCAAAUUAGUGAUGUGGCAGUGAUUAAGUGGGGAGAGGGACGAAAUUUUAAAUGAUUAAACAAUGCAAGGGUAAAUUGCAAGGAUUAGCGAUUACAGAGACCAAUUUUUAAACGACCCAUAAUUGCAAGGAUGAAAUACAUAUUUAAGCCUAAACCAAACAAGACUCUGAUGGCAAGACUGUGUGGUUUAAGCAUGGGCUGAAAGUCACUGGUCUUCGGUGGCUGCAGGAUAUCAGCUACAGCCAGAUUGAACACGGGCUUUGUUCUGCAAUUGUGGAGAGAUGGCACGAGGAGACAUCGAACUUUCAUCUUCCGUUUGGGGAUAUGAUAGUGGCACUGGAUGAUGUGUCAUGUUUGCUGCAUCUCGCCAUCGAGGGUAUGCUCUUGUCCUAUGAAAGUAUGUCAAGGGGUGAUGUUGUUGAGUUGUUGAUGGAAUUGUUGAGGGUUGAUGCGGGCGAGACAUGGACCGAGGUGGAAAAGAAAAAAGGUGGACAUGCACGGUUUAACUUCUUGAAGGAUAUAUACUUUCAAGGAGCAUGUUCGGGAGGCACAUGAGGUCUACCAUGCUGGUCAGUUUGUUGAGAUGCAGCAGCGGGAGUAUUUUCCAACAGAAGGUAUGGCCUAAACUAAUUUUAUCAAUUUAUUUAUUUCAAAUUCUAUGAUCAAUUUGAAAAUGACCUAUGUAAUUAGAGAAACUAGCAGUUAAAUUAAAAUUGAGGGAAAAAAGAUCAUACCAAAGUCAGAUCAAUCCAGCUUCAUGCAAUAGAGGAGAAAAAGACAGUAUGGCUUAGCUUCUGGUGGAAUCAAAUUUGGAUGAAAAUUAAUUAAGGAUAAACACACACAAACACUUCAUAAUGCCUUGGUCCUGAUGUAUAUACAUGUAAUGGGUCAAAUUUAAAAUAUAAAAUAACAAGUGUGGCUUAGCUUGCUUCCUUUUUGAUGGAGACUACUAGAUAAACUAUGGAAUUGGAUUUCAGAUUAAAAUAUAUGCAAAAUUAAGCUUGUUGUCCUUCAAUUUUGAGUCAUUUUUCAGAUUAUACCUAUUCACGUAUGUAAACACAAGUUAAUUACAAUAGGUGAGUUGCUGAGUGAAAUGUCUUAGGUGCAAUUCCAAGAACAAUUAGAUUAUACCUAUUAAGCUUGUUGUCCUUUAAUUUUGACUAUUUUUCAGAUUAUACCUUUUAGUUUUUCUUUCUUCCUUGAAUAGUUUCUUCAAAUAUUUAUAAUUACCAACAGAAGGUAGAGCCUUGGACUUAUACAAUAUAUAAGUGGCUUAGAUGUAUUCUUGUCUUUCGUUGGUCUAUGAAAUCGUAAAAACAAACACUUUCGUAUAUUUAAUUAAAUUUAAAGGUAAAGUAAAACAUUAAAUUAAUUUUAAAAUCCCUCCCCUCGUGAACCACAUCAAUUAAUGUUUUUAUUUUUUGUGGAAUUUCUAAAUGUUUUAAUUGAUUAGUUUUUUUUUUAAAGAAUGUUUUGAUUGAUUAGUUGUGUAUGUACAAAGCUGUUUUAGACCGUCGACUCGUUAAUCUUAAACCCUUAACAAAAACUGAUUUAGACCGUCGACUCGCUAAUCAAACCAAGUAAUUAAAUUAAAAAAUUACUUUCUGUUGGAGAAAAGAUACUAUUUGGAAUAUGCAUUGGAAAUAAUGAGUAGCAGAGAGAUUACAAACACUAUAUUAUUUUGUGGGAAAACCAAGAUCUUUGAUCUGUAUCAUUUAAAAAGGAAAGACCAUUAACAGAACCAUUAUUAUUCUUCUUAUCUUUAUUUCUUAUGACUCAAAAUCAUGAAACUCAAGUAGCUACUGCAAUAGGGAGAAAAAGAGGAAGAAGACCGACAAUUCAUUUAAUGACGAAGCAGAAGAUGUUAGAAGAAAGCAGCAUUGCUAUCUUCAAUGAUCAAGAACAUUGACACUGUGAUGUGAUCCUAAAAUUCUCUCUCUUGACAAGAAUAAUAAAGUCAUUGUAGAAUAAAAGAACCAAAUUAAUUUUGGGUUCAAAGUUUUAUUUUCGUAGGUCAUUAUAUGUCUGUCUUGUUUUGGCUAUAUCUGGAGCUCUGGAUAUCCGUUUGAGGUGAUCUUUAACUCGUUGGAAAGCUUACGAAAUUCUCUACAUUUCAUCUGUUUGAUUCAAGAGCAAAUUCGGAAUAUUUAAUGGUGCAGAAUGAGCUGUAGGUAGAAGACGUGGUUAAAGUAUGUUAGCUGAAGAAUUAAAGGUGGUGUUUGUGGAAUUGUAACGUCUAGCCAUAAUAAGCCUUCACAAAUCAAUGUGCAAAUGAAUAUGUAACCUUCUCAUGCAUUGAUCAACCACCAACUUUAAAGAUCCAAUUAAAUUGUAACCUCUUUUGUAAUAACUAGCCACCUAGGAAUUAUAACACUAAUUAUGCUAUGAUUGUAAGUUUUUCAGCUUCCAAGCCUAUUUCCUAUAAAAAGGGGGCGAAAAUAAUGAAGGGGACAAGUUGAAUUUAAAAAAAAUAAAAAAUAAAUAGAGAAUUUUAGGAUCACAUCACACUGCUAAGGAAAAUGAAUGGGGAUCUUUACACAAAAUUAUGAAACGCUGCAAACCUGGUUAUAGCUGACUACUUAUACCAACAAUAAAAACAGGAUCAGAUUGAUUAAUACCAGCAAUCACAGCACAGAACUGCUGAAUAAAAUUAGGAAUACUUCUGCAAAGGUAUAAAUUAUAAAGUUUAAAUAUGCCUUUAGUCCUUGCACUUUUAUCAGAUUUUGGCAUUGGUCCCUACACUUUUUUUUGUUUGGAAUUGGUCCCUGCACUUUGUAAAAAUAUUGGUAUUGGUCCCUGCACUUUGUAAAAAUAUUGAUAUUGGUGCCACGUGGCGUGAAAUGAUUGGGCCACGUGGCACUCCGUUGAUUUUGUGUUUUUUUUUUUAACAGAAAGUUAACAGGGGGUCAAUACCAAUAUUUUUACUAAGUGCAGGGACCAAUGCCAAAAUCUGAUGAAAGUGUAGGGACCAAUGACACAUUUAAACCAAAUUAUAAUUAGCACAACGUAUCAUUGCACUUAGGCAUUUAAAUGAUGAAUUUAAUACCAGUCUACUGCAUCACCGAAUCUUUCUGAAUGAAUGCGAUGAUGUUGUGCUUAUUGUAUUUGAGAAACAGGAGAAAGAGAUUACAAUAUUUCCGACUUGUAUUAUUCUUUUGACCCUCUUAGCAAGUGCCUCAAAAAAAGACCUGCCCAAUAUGUUGUUUCAGCAUAAAGUUAUUGCAAUACACCGAGCAUUAUUCACUUGAAGGAUUAAAAUUUUCUAUUAAAUAAAAAAUAUUGAAUCUAUAAUUAUAAAGUCGGUUAAAACUUCAUACCGAUUGAACAAGAAGGUUGUUCCUCUUUGCAUGAAUAGGAAGGUUGUUCCUGGUUAUCUUCAUUUUCAUUGUUAGAGCUUCUGACUUCACCUCCAAUUGCUAUAGACACAUCAGAGUCUUGAGCAAUGGAUUUUAAUUUACCAAUUUCCUUACUAAUGAUACUGCUACCACCACCUUCCAACUCACGUUCUAAGGCAUAUACAGGUAUGACCCCACACCCUUUUAUCCCCUCUGUUGACCACCACAAUUCUUCAUUGGGACCUUGAAGUAUGAAUUUAAAUGAUAAGUUACAAUCAUAACUUCCACUUUCUUGUAUGUUGUAACCAUGCCAACGCAUCAAUACAUGAUCUGAAAUUAAUGUCCCGAGAUAAUUGAAUCUAAUGCGACGUCUGUCGACUUCUUUUCCGCAUUCAAAGAUAAUACAAUGAAGGACAUGGUGGUUAACAGUGAAGCCCUCAGAAAAAAGGAUGCAAAAUAUGAAACCACACAAGUCAGAUUUAGCAAUAGGAAGAAUAGUUAUUGAAGCCUUGAUUGUCUGAAAAUCAAAAUUUAAUGGAAUUUGUGCUCCUGGCAUGAAAGAGAAAGGACGGAUAACACCUUCAUGUUCAAUAGAAGGGUCUUCACAGAACUUUUGUGCCUUGUUCUUAAUCAAUGAAAAUUGUGUGAAGUAUGUGUCCAGAUAUGUGCAAUUAACGGCUGUUAAAUAAAACAGGGAUGGCGGAAUCUCUGUUAGAGACACAAGUUUCCUGCAAUUGUCUAAUUCAAGCCAUUCUAGCAUUGAAUGGUUUUGUAUGUUCUUAGGGAGACAUUCUAAGUUGCAACACUCAUUCAAUUUUAGCCGUUUUAAAGAUUGUAUGCCAUCAAGGAUGGACGACAGACUUAUUGCAUUGAUUUCUGUGCACCCAGAAAGGUCUAGCUCUGUAACAGACCCCAGUCCAUGAUCAUCUGUUAACUUAUUCCCAACAAUAGUAAGCUUGUUACAUCCAGCUAGGUCAAGAACAGUAAGUUUGGUAUUAUGCCAAAUCGAUGAAGUCAAUUCAUGUAUAGAAGUGUCACGUAAGGAUAAUUUUGUCAUUUCCUCCGAUGUCACUGAAAAUUCUGUGAGAGAUGAACAACCAUUGAGUAAGAGUUGACGAAGAGAUUUUGAAUGAAUGUUUGUUUUAAGGCUUUCAAUACUUAUGCAACCUCUUAAGUCUAGAUAUUGAAGUUGAGGGAGAGAAAAGAUGGAUGGAUGGAGUUGACGCAAGCUUUCACAUUCCGAGAGAAGUACAACAACAAGAUUUGUAGCCCUAGAUAAGUCUGGGAUCUCAAUCAGAUCUUUGGAGGAUCGAAGCCAAAGUGUUCUUAGAUUCACAAGAUUCUGUAACAAGAAAUAAACAUCCAUGAGUGUUGAUUAAAAGAGAAACAAAACCUAGUUAAACAUAAAGAGAAACAUCCUAGCUCUGCUGCAAUUUAGUGAAAAACAUUUGUACCUGAACUCCAUCCCAGAGCUUUUUAAGCUUGCUAUGACUCAUGCAAAGAUAUACAAGCAUUUCAGCACAAAAGGUUGAUGGCAAAGACUCAAGACAGUAUCUUACCCAUAGAAGAUACCUCAAUUUAUCAGAAAUCCACUCAAGACCGUCAGGAAAGUACACAUUGCCUGUGCUCCCAUCAGAAUCAUUACAGAUAUGAAGAUAUCUUAAAUUUGUCAUCCUUCUAAAGGAAUCAGACUUCAAGUAAAUAUCCCCAACAUUUGUACUAUGGAACCUUAUACCUUCCACAACUUCAGUUCCCUGACAAAUAAAAAUUAGAUUAAUAAUUAGGAAAGGCUGUCAUGUGUACUUUCCUCGUUAUAUUUUAUAAUCACAUACAUGUUUUUUCGUAUAGAAAUGAUUGCAUUCUCUAGUUACCUUGUUUUCUUUUAAUAUAUCAGAUAUUUCUUCAGCUCUCCAUAACCGACUUCGUUUUCCAGGAUCUUUAGACUCUUGAUUAACAAUCUCCCGUCCCAUUUCUUGUAACAAAUCAUGCAUAUCUAAACCAUCAGUUUCCAAUUUGGCCAACGAGUGCCAAUUUGAUUUUAUUUGUAUGAAAGCUUUAUCUAGAAGGACUUCUAUCCCACUUUCUGCAAAGAACUCACAAGCUUCCAAGAAAUGUAUCACAAACAUUUUAUUCUCUCCUCUCAACAAGCAUGCGAUAUCUAGAAAUAUGUCCUUUUGAAAAAUAUCUAAGUUAUCAUAACUCAAUUUUAACAUAUUGUUAAUUUCCCCAUUUGGAAUCCUUUCGAGCUUUUUCAAUUCAUCUUCCCAUACUUUUUUGCCUCUUGAACGGAGAUUUUUACCUAAAACUUUUAAAGCCAAAGGGUUGCCUCUGCAAUAGGCAAUUACACUUUCCGAUAGAUCUUCAUAUCCAAUUUUAGGCUGUUUUUCUCCGAAGGCAAACAAACUGAAUAGUUGAAGAGAAUCAUGUUUGUUCAAUUCAUUAAACUCAUAUAUUUCACAAUUACUCAACUGACUUAGUAUGUGCUUAUCUCUAGUUGUAAUAAUGACCCUACUACCCAAUCCCAACCCAUAAAUUAUUAGGAUAAGAUCAUCUAAUUAAUCUAAGGUAUCCAAACCAUCCAACACAAUAAAAACUUUUUUAAGUGCAAUCCUUCUCACGGAGAAAGAGGAUUCUAUGUAGGAUGCAUCGGGAUGAAUUUUUUCUUCCUCUAACAAUGAAGACAAAAGUUUAUUGUGUAGACCAUUGACUCCAUACUUGUUUGAUUCAUCCAUUACAUAGUGGAAGCAAAGAACUUCAAAUUGGGAAUAAAGUUUACCAAAUAAAGUCCUAGCAAUGGUGGUCUUUCCUAUGCCACCCAUGCCCCAUAUUCCAAUGAUUAUAACAUCAUUUGACCCAAUUUCCAUCAUUGAUUCAAUUUGUUCGUAAUUUUUCUCAAUUCCAACAAGCCCAUUAAUAUCAUAUGGGUAUCUAGGAUUCAGUUUCCGCAAAACAUCUUCAACAAUGGCUUUAAUGAAGUCUGAGUCACUCCUAACAUAUGAAAGAGGGGAAGAAGGUUUAACAUGUCUACUAAAUACAAUAAAUAAACAUCUAUAUGAUUAGAAAUAUAUACAAAAUUUAUAGUCAACAUGAUGGUAGUGGCGUAGUAGAGCAAAAAAAGAAGCAAAAAUGAGAUUCGAGGAAAUGAAAUACCAAACACACAGUGCAAUUAAAGUCUAUUUUUUCUAGGAAGUGAAAUCCUAAAGAAAAUUAUAAAAAAAUAAAAGUUUUAUGAUACUCGAAGCAUGUGUUGCUACUAUUAAGAUUUUAGUGAUACAAAUAGAAUCAGCCAAAUCGAAGUAAAAAAAAUUGUGAGAUAGUGUAUGAUGACUUUGAUAGUUUUGAGAAGGUCAUCAACUAUGGCCAGGCACAUCAAUGUCAUUGUUCACUUCUCGAAAUAAUUUGGCCUGGUUUACUUUCUAAAAUUAUAUUUCGUCUUCAAUUUCUAAAAUUUAUGUUCAUUUCCAACUACAAAUAUGGAGAUGAAAGACUUAUGAAGUAAACAAUUGUGCUAUAUUAGAAACAAAACAUUCAAAUGAUAGGAAAUAGUUUAUUGAUUUUACUUACCUAUAAUUUCGAGAGUCCCAACCAACUAAAUUAGCUGCAUCAGUGAGAGCAGCUUUCCAUUUCUCCAACUUAUCGUUAUUGUGCUUCAAAUUUCGCUUAUGUUUUGCAAAGGCUUGCUUGUAACUCCCGGUCUGCUUCCUCACAUGUGAUGGAUCUAUGUUGUAAAAAACUGGUAUCACAAUCUGUUCCAUAUAUUUCUUGCAUUCAAGAAUCUUUUUGAGCUCAUUCAAGCACCAUUUUGAGGAAGCAUAGUUUUCUGAGAAGAUGACAAUAGAUGCAUGUGACUCCUCAAUGGCUUUGAUGAGUGCUGCCGAGAUCUCAUCUCCUUUUUGAAGCUCAUUGUUGUCUAUAAAGGUUUCAACUUUCUUUCGGCUCAGAGCGUCGUAAAGAUGGCUAGUGAAGUUUCUGCGAGUAUCCUCACCUCGAAAGCUAAGAAAAACCUCAUAUUUUUUCUUAGGGACCACAUCAGAAGAAGAUACAGAGGAAAAAGCACUGCUCAUUUUCUCCUCGUGACGGUUAUGAAUUCCCAGGGCCUGUACUAAGCCACUAAUCACAAUGCUACAAUAAAAAAAAAAAGUAAUGUUUAUUGUGUUCUUGAUACUUUUGACCACACUCAUUCUCGUUGUAAUUAGAGAAACUAGUUGUUAAAUUAAAAUUAAGAAGAAAAAAGAUCAUACCAAAGUCAGAAUCAAGCUUCAUGCAAGAAGACUUUAAAGUCAUAAAUCCCAACAGUAGUAUGGCUUAGCUUCUGCUGGAAUCAAUUUUAGAUGAAAAUUAAUUAAGGAUAAACACACACAAACACUUCAUAUAGAUGUAAUGAUUCAAAAUUAAAAUAUAAAAUAGUAAGUGUGGUUUCGUGGUUAUCCUUCAAGGAAGUUUCGUGGUUUUAUUUUCAGUUUUUCUUUCUUCCUUUGAAUAGUUUCUUUAAAUAUUCAAAUGUGUACGUCGUGGUGUUCUUCAGAAGGUAUGGCCAUCACAUUAUUCUUUAUAACAACCAUAUAAAAAAAAAAAUGACAUUAUGAAUUUGUCAUCAUGUGUGGUCAGAUCAGAUGCAUAAUGUGUAAGACGCCGGCUGAAUAAAAUAUGGCAACAAGAGAAUAUUUAGACAAACAAUGAUGCACAUAAUAUAGUGUGAAUCUAAUUUCCUAUAUUAAACUAAAUAGUUGUUACAUAAGGUUCCAUUUCUUUCUAUUUGUUUUUUUACCAAUCAAAUUAAGUAACCUUUAAACAAAUAUCAUAUAUAGUUGAACCGUUGAAUCUUGAACCUUAUUCACAUGUUCAAUGGCUGGUCCAAUCAUUUGUUUAAUGGUUGGUCCAAUUUAGAAAAUAUUAAUGAAGACGGCCUGCUUUGAUAAAUUAUUUAUUUAAAAACUUAUUUAUAUCCUUUUUUACUAACAAGGAAUUGAGACGUAACCAAAAAAAAAACAAGGAAUUGAGAUGGCCCUCUUCCGAUCUCAUCCCAACCCCACCAAUGGCCAACUUUAAAGCUAUGUUUGGAUUGGUAGAGAGUGGUGGAAUGGAAUUGAAUGAAGUGGGAUAGAUUCACAUUCUAUUGUUUGGUUUUGUAAAAAAAGGAAUAGAAUGGAAUGUAGUGUAAUGGAACUCAUUGCAUCCAAUACCACCUAUUUAACCAAUUUUCCAGUUCCUCCCAAUUUGGGGUGUAUGCAAUGAAAAAACAACAAUCUUCCUAGUAAAUACUAUAAAACAACAAUCAUCACCAAUGGUGGAAAUUAAUCAACAAAAAUUGAAAAAGACUUCCAUAAAAAUGAGUGCCUCAAAAGUAACCUUCAAAAGAUUCAAUUGAUAAGCAAUAAUCCAGCUUAACAUUGAGCUUCUCAUACGUAGCAUUCCAAUUUAUUAUGUCUGAAUUACAAGCAAUCAGAAGUUGAGGACAAGCCUAUAGAAGCUCAAAUUUUUCUGAAUAAAACCAUACCCUACACCGAAUUAGGGCUCUAUGAAGCCUCUAAUACUCGAAACAAUCGAAGAAGCAUUGGGGCUCUAAGACUAAGAAGGAGAAGAUGAAAAGAAACUAGCUACAAAAUUAAAACAUAUGUUUUCAUUGAUUAAUUACAUUCCUAAAGAUACAACACACUUAUCCCCUCUGUUGAACACCACAAUUGUUCCUUGUGACCUUGAAGUAGAAAUUGAAAUGAUAAGUUGCAAAAAUCAUAAAUUUCACUAUCUUGUCUGUUGUGAACAUGCCAGCAUACCAGUACAUAAUCAGAAAUGAAUGUCCCAAGAUAACUGUCACUAAUACAACGUAUGUCGGCUUCUUUUCCGUUUUCAAAGAUAAUACAGUGAACGGCAUCAGGGGCGGUUCUAAGGCCCGGCGACCCCCGGCUCCGGGCCAAAUUUUUUGUGUAAAUCCCUAUGAAUUUCUUAUAUAAACCCCUAUAAAUUGGGCAAUUUCUUUACAUUUUUUAUUAUUUGCUUGCAAUUUCUUAUGUACGCCCUAUAAAUGUGUUGCAAAAAAAUUUUCCGCCCAGGCUUUACAAUAUUCCUGGCUCCGCCACUGAACGGCAUGGUGGUAAACAUUAAAGCCCUCAGAAAGAAUGAUGGAAAAUAUAAAACUGCACAAAUCAGAUUUUGGAAUAGGAGGAAUAAUUAUUGAAGCCUCUAUUGUCUGAAAAUCAAACAUGCAUGCAAUGGAGUCUUCAGAGAAGGUUUGUAACAUGUUAUUAAAAAAUGACGGUUGAAUGGAGUAUGUGUCCAGAUAACUGCAAUUAACGGCAGGGAUGGUGGAAGCUCUGUUAGAGACACAAUUUUCCUGCAAUCAUCUAAAUCAAGCCAUUCCCAACAUUGAAUGGUUUUGGAUAUUGUCGGGGAGAACAUCUAAGUUGCAACACUCUUUCAAUUUUAGCCGUUUUAAAGACUAUAUACCAUCGAGGAUGGACCACAGACUUAAUGCAUCGAUUUCUGUGCACCCUGAAAGGUCUAGUUCGGUAACAAACCCAAGCCCAUGAUCAUCUGAUAACUUCUUCCCAACAGUGUUGAGCUUGUUACACUCAGUUAGACCAAGAGAAGUAAGUUUGCAAUUACGCCAAAUCGAUAAAGAUAAUUCACGUAUAGCAGUGCCAUGUAAGGAUAACUCUGUCAUUUCCUCUGAUGUCACCGAAAAUUCCAUGAGGGAUGAACAACCAUCAACUAAGAGAGAUUUUGAAUGAAAAUUGGUUUUUAGGCUAUGACUCAUGCAAAUCUCUACAAGCAUUUCAGCACAAAAGGUUGAUGGCAAAGAUUCAAGACAGUAUCCAUCCCAUCGAAGGUACCUCAAUUUAUCAGAAAUCCACUCAAGACCAUCGGGAAAGUACACAUUGCAUGUGCUCCCAUCAGAUAUAUUAUAGAUUUUAAGAUAUCUUAUAUUUUUCAUCCUUCUAAAGGAAUCAGACUUCAAUAAAGAUCCCCAACAUCUGUACAAUGGAACGUUAUACCUUCCACAGCUUCAGUUCCCUAAUAAAAACAUUUUUUUUUAAUAAUUAGGAAUGGUUCCCUGAUGAACUUUCCUUGUUAUAUUUCCCUGACGCAUUUUUGUUAUAAUUAGGAAUUGCAAACUCUAUUACCUUGUUGUUUUUCAAUAAUUCAGAUAUUUCUUCAGCCCUCCACAAUCUACUUCUUUUCCCAGGGUCUUUAGAUUCUUGAUUAACAAUCUCCCGACCCAUUUCUUGUAACAAAACAUGCAUUUCUAUUGUAUCAACAUCCAGAUUUACAUGCCAAAUAAGUUUUAGUUCUAUGAGAGCUUUAUCUAGAAGGACUUCUAUCCCAAUUGUUGCAAAGAAUCGACAAGCUUCCAAUACAUGUUUUACAAAAUCUUUAUGCUCUUCUCUCAACAAGCAUGCGAUAUCUAGAAAUAUGGCCUUUUGACAACAAUCUAAGUCAUCAUAACUCAAUUUUAACACAUUAAAAAUUUUCCUAUUGGGAAUCUUUUGGAGCAUUUUCAAUUCAUUGUCCCAUGCUUCCUUGCUUCUUGAACUCGGAUUUGCACCUAAAACUUUUAUAGCCAGAGGAUUGCCUUUGCAAUAGGCAAUUACACUCUCUGAUAGAUCUUCAUAUCCAAUUUUAGGAUGUUUUUCUCCGAAGAUAGUCAAACUCAAUAGUUGAAGAGAAUCAUGUUUGUUCAAUUCCUUAACCUCACAUAUUUGCACAUUUUGUGAAUUGACUAAAUAUGUGUUUAUAUCUAGUUGUAAUAAUGACCCCACUACCCGGUGCCAGUCCAUCAAUUUUUAGCAUAAGAUCUUCUAUUUGCUCUACAGUUUCUCUACACUAUCCAGCACAAUGUAAAAUUCUUUACGUGCAAUCCUUCUCACAGAGAAAGGGGUUUCUACGUGCAAUAAUUCUCACUCUGUUUUUUUAUUUUUUUAUUUUUUUUUCUUCUUUCUAAUCCUUUGAAUAUCUCCAGGUUCUUACUUUAUUGAAGGAAAUGUAACAUGAAGAAAAUAUAAGGAAAUGUAACAUGAAGCAAAAUUUGAGGAAAGAAAAGUUAGGCCUCAUCCUCAAGUAGUAGGAAUGUAGUCCAAUUUUGAUGGCAAAUUACACCCUAUUUCCAUUAACUUUUCAUCGGUAAGAACCAUGUCAUGGACGAGUCUUCAGAUAAGCAGAGACUUUGAGGGAGGAAUAUCUUUGCUCCAAAGUAGGAGCAAUGUGUUUUUUAAAAGAAUAAGUAUCUUUUAAAAGCUAAAUUUCCAUCAGAGGUUCUUUUCCAAAUCAAAGAAUCUUCACAGUCUUCAUCAGGAAUAGUUGCAGCACAAGCAAGCUAAUAGUAGGGAACAUCAACAGGACAUCACGAAGAAUGUUCCAGUGAAAAUUGGUGAAAUAGUAUUAGUCAGACACUUUUGAAGGGAAAGUGUUGAUAAAUAUAUUUUUCCUUAUAAAUAUAAAAAUAAAUAUUUGUCACCGAUACAAUAAAAAAAAUACACAAGACAAAUAUUCAUAAAAAAUUGGAUUAUUAUUUUUCAUUGAUAAACAAUCUAUGACACAAGAUAUAAACGGAGAAAUAAUUGUCACUAUUAAGCAGUAGUAAUUGACACAAGAUAUAAAUACUUUCAUGUACUUGAAGCUGCUCAUUCUAACCAAGGAAUUUCACUACUUCAACACCAAUGUUGCUCAGAUUUGUUUGCAAACUCAUGCUUACUUUGCUCAGAACCCUUCUCAACAUCCUCUGACCCCUCCAUGAAGUUACAGAAGCAUCAUAGCUCGAUAUCAAACAGUCUAAUGCAUAAACAGAUAUUGCGAUGAAGUAUUGUGCGAGAAACAAUGAGACAGAAAACGUUUCUGACUAUUAUAAUUCUUUGGACCCUCGAUAAAAUACAGCCGGUCAUUAUUUUCUAGAAUCAUGAGAAUUUUAAAACAAUUCUUCAAUUGAAGGAUUUAAAUCUUUUAAUAAAAUAAGCUAAGGUGGAAGGUAUGAUUGAAAAAGUGGAAAUUAUAUAGUGCUACAAUCAAAAUAAUUAACGGCUACUAACUAGCAUAACCUCUAGGAAUUAGAAAGCUUCUGCCUUGUUUAAAGAUACAAACAUACAAUUACACAGACUUGGGUCUAAUUACUUGGCGCCUGCGUCUAACAGAAGGUUGUUCCUCUACUUUGUAAGAAUAAGAAGGUUGUUCCUGAUCAUCUUCAUUUUCAUUGUUAUAGCUUCUGCCUUCACCUCCAAUUGCUAUAGACACAUAAGAGUCUUGAGCAAUGGAUUUUAACUUACCAAUUUCCUUACUAAUGCUACUACCCCAAUAUUCCCAUACAGGUAAGACCCCACACCCCUUUAUCCCCUCCUUUGACCACCGUAAUUCUUCAUUGGGACCUUGAAGUAUGAAUUGAAAUGAUAAGUUGCAAAUAUCAUAACUUCCAUUUUCUUGUCUGUUGUAACCAUGCCAACAUAUCAAUGCAUGAUCUGAAAUUAAUGUCCCAAAAUAAUUGUGACUAAUGCGACGUCUGUUGACUUCUUUUCCGCGUUCAAAAAUAAUACAAUGAAGGGCAUGGUGGUUAAUAGUGAAGCCCUCAGAAAAAAGGAUGCGAAAUAUGAAACCACAUAAGACAGAUUUUUUAAUAGGAAGAAUAGUUAUUGAAGCCUCGAUUGUCUGAAAAUCAAAAAUUAUUGGAUCUUGUGCUCCUGGCAGGAAAGAGAAAGCAUUUAUCACACCUUCUUCAAUAGAAGGGUCUUCAAAGAUCUUUCGUACCAUGUUUUCAAGCAAUGACCAUUGUGUGGAAUCUGUGUCCAGAUAAGUGCAAUUAACAGCUUUAAAAUAUAACAGGGAUGGCGGAAGCUCUAUCAGAGUCACGAGGUUCCUGCAAUCAUCUAAUUCAAGCCAUUCUAGCAUUGAAUGGUUUUGGAUAUUCUCUGGGAGACUUUCUAAGUUGCAACACUCUUUCAAUUUUAGCUGUUUUAAAGAUUGUAUGCCAUCAAGGAUGGACCACAAACUUAAUGCAUUAAUUUCUGUGCACCCUGAAAGGUCUAGUUCCGUAACAAACCCAAGUCCAUGAUCAUCUGAUAACUUAUUCCCGACAAUGUUAAGCUUGUUACAUCCAGUUAGGUUAAUAACAGUCAUUUUGGUAUUACGCCAAAUUGAUGAAGACAAUUGAUGUAUAUCAGUGCCACAUAAGGAUAACUCUGUCAUUUCCUCCGAUGUCACUGAAAAUUCCAUGAGAGAUGAACAACCAUCAAGUUUAAGGUUUCGGAGAGAAUUUGAAUGAAUAUUGGUUUUAAGGCUUUCGAUCUUUAUGCAACCUCCUAAAUCUAGUACAAUAAGUCGAGGGAGAGAAAAGAUGUAUGGAUGGAGAUGACGCAGGCUUUCACAUUUAUAGAGAUGUACUUUUUCAAGAUUUGUAGCCCUAGAUAAGUUUGGGAUCUCAAUCAGAUCUUUGGAGUAAUUAAGGCUAAAUGUGAUUAGAUUCACAAGAUUCUGUAACAAGAAAUAAACAUGCAUUAGUGUCGAUUAAAAGAGAAACAAAACCUAGUUAAGAAUAAACAGAAGCAUGCCAUACUAACUCUGCUGCAUUUUUGUGAAUGACAUUAGACUUCCUCUUGUACCUCUAUAAAGUUAACAAGUACAUCCAAACAUUUUGUACCUGAACUCCAUCCCAGAGCUUUUUAAGCUUGCUAUGAGUCAUGUGAAGCUCUACAAGCAUUUCAGCACAAAAGUUUGAUGGAAAAGACUCAGGACAAUAUCCCUCCCAUUGAAGGUACCUCAAUUUAUCAGAAAGCCACUCGAGACCAUCAGGAAAAUGUACAUUGCAUAUGCUCCCGUUGGAUAUAUUAUGAAUCUUAAGAUAUCUUAAGUUUGUCAUCCUUCUAAAGGAAUCAGACUUCAAGUAUAGAUCCCCAACUUCCGUACUAUCGAAUAUUAUACCUUCCCCAACUUUAGUUCCCUGACAACGAAAAUUAGAUUAAUAAUUAGGAAAGGCUGUCAUAUGUACUUUCAUUGUUAUAUUUUAUAAUUACAUACAUAUAUUUUCAUAUAUAAGUGAUUGCAUCCUCUGCUUACCUUGUUUUCUUUUAAUAUAUCAGAUAUUUCUUUAGCUCUCCACAACCGACUUCGUUUUCCAGGGUUUAUAGAUUCUUGAUUAACAAUCUCCUGUCCCAUUUCUUGUAACAAAUCAUGUAUAUGUAAACUAUCAACUUCCAACUUGGCAUACGAGUGCCAAUUUGGUUUUACUUGUAUGAGAGCUUUAUCUAAAACGACUUCUAUCCCACUUUCUGCAAAGAACUCACAAGCUUCCAACAAAUCUAUUAUAAAUAUUUUAUGCUCUCCUCUCAAAAAGCAUGCAAUAUCUAAAAAUAUGGCCUGUUGAAAAAAAUCUAAGUCAUCAUAACUGAAUUUUAACACGAUAUAAAUUUUCCUAUUUGGAAUCUUUUCGAGCUUUUUCAAUUCAUUUUCCCAUGCCUCUUUGCCUCUUGAGCGGAGAUUUACCCCUAAAACUUUUAAAGCCAGAGGAUUGCCUUUGCAAUAGGCAAUUACACUUUCUGAUAGAUCUUCAUAUCCAAUUUUAGGCUGUUUUCCUCCGAAGGCAUUCAAACUGAAUAGCUGAAGAGAAUCAUGAUUGUUCAAUUACAUGACCUCAUAUAUCUCACAUUUACUGAACUGACUAAAUAUGUGCUUAUCUCUAGUUGUCAUAAUGACCCUACUACCCGGUCCCAGCCCAUCAAUUUUUAGGAUAAGAUCUUCUAUUUGCUCUAAGGUUUCUAUGCCAUCUAACACAAUUAAAACUUUAAUUUUACGUGAAAUCCUUCUCUUGGAUAAAGUGGCUUCUAUGUAGGAUGCAUCAGGAUGAAUAUUUUCCUCCUCUAACAAUGAGGAUAAAAGUUUAUUGUAUACAACAUUAUGUCCAUACCUGUUUGAUUCAUCCAUUACAUUGAGAAAGCAACAACCUUCAAAUUGAGAAUAAAUUAUAGCAUAUGAAGCCCUAGCAAGAGUGGUCUUUCCUAUGCCACCCAUGCCCCAUAUUCCAAGGACUCUAACAUCAUUUGAGCCAAUUUUCAGUAUUGACUCAAUUUGGUCAUAAUUUUUCUCAACUCCAACAAGCCCCUUAAUUUCACAUGGGUAACUAAGAUUCAGUUUCCGCAAAACAUAUUUAACAAUGUCCUUAAUGAAGUCCGAUUCGAUCCUAGAAUAUGAAAGAGAGGAAGAAGAUUUUACAAGUCUAACAAAUACAAUAGUAGAAAAGUACAUCUAUAUGAUUAGUAUACAAAAUUUAUAGUCAAUAAGGUGACAGUGGCUUAGUAGAGCAAGAAACAAACAAAAAUUAGAUUUGGGGAAACAAAAUACCAAAGACACAAGGUAAUAAAUGUAUAUUUUCUAUGACUUUGGUAGUUUUCAGAAGGUUGUGUCAACUAUUACUUUGGCCUGUUUAUUUUCAAAAAUUAUUUUUAGUGUUUGUUUUCUAAAAUUUAUGUUCAUUUCCAAUUAAGAAAAUGGAGAUGAAAGACUCAUGUAGUAAAUAGCUGUGCUAUAUUAGAAAACAAAACAUGUAAAUGAUAUGAAAUAGUUUAUUUAUUUUACUUCGAAUUUUUUCGUUUUGUUUACCUGUAAUUUUGAGAGUCCCAACCAACUAAACUAGCUGCCUCAGUGAGUGCAUCUUUCCAUUCCUGUAACUUGUCAUUAUUGCUCUUCAAAUCUCGCUUAUGUUUUGCGAAGGCUUGCUUGUAACUCCCAGUCUGCUUCCUCACAUGUGAUGGAUCUAUGUUGUAAAAAACAGGUAUCACAAUCUGUACCAUAUAUUUCUUGCAUUCAAGAAUCUUUUUGAGCUCAUUCAAGCACCAUUUUGAGGAAGCAUAGUUUUCUGAGAAGAUGACAAUAGACACAUGUGACUCCUCAAUGGCUCUGAUGAGUGCUGGCGAUAUCUUAUCUCCUUUUUGAAGCUCAUUGUUGUCUAUAAAGGUUUCAACUUUCUUUCGGCUCAGAGCAUCAUAAAGAUGGCAUGUGAAGUUUCUGCGGGUAUCCUCACCUCGAAAGCUAAGAAAAACGUCAUAUUUUUUCACAGAUGCCACAGAAGAAGAAAAAACACUGUUUGUUUGCUUCCUAGCCAUUAUGAAUUCCAAGCGCUGCGCUAAUCACAAUGCUACACUCAAACAUAAAAAAUAUUUGAUGUUUAAAUUUGUUCUCGGUUACUAUUUGUACUGGCACUCGUGAUAGUGUUACAUAUUGAGAUUUAUAAAUCAGAUUGACAUCAGAUCAGGCAGUUCAAAGUCCACAUAUUGCUCAUAUAUCGACCUAGGUAAUGUGUAUUUUUUGAUCUAGGAAAGCUAUAGAAUAUGGCAAUUCCACGGGCCAGAUUAAUUAUUACUUCACAUUCAUAGGCUAUUUAAGUCUAGUUUUAUGUAUGGACUCCAAUCAUGUUUAACCUUGUUGCUUGAAUUGAAUUCUAGGUUUUAUCAGGGUUUCUCUUCAUUAGCCUUUUAAACAUUGAGUAGUAAUUAACAAAUAUGAAGACUAACUUAGCAUUCAUUCUUCAGAACCAAUUUGAAAGACUAAUUUGAAAUAUUUGCCAAUAUUGAUUUCAAAUUCAAGGAUAAAAUUAUGAAUAAACUACAAUUAGAGAAACUAACUAGUUAAAUUAUAAUUGACGGAAAAUAGAUCAUACCAAAGUCAGAAUCCAGCAAUAAUUGAGGAGGAAAAGAAUGUACAAUGACAGUCACAAUCCCAGCAGGGCAAUUAGCUUCUACCGGAAUCAAUAAAUAGCUUCUACCGGAAUCAAAAGCAGGCCUAACCAAAUAAUUCCAAUAAUUUAGAUGAAUGUCUUUAGACACCAAUUUUUUCAUUUUUAAGUGUUUAGGUACAACAGUUCAUAAUGCUUUGGUCGUGAUUUUAUAUGGAUUGAUCAAAAUUAAAAUAUAAAAUAACAUGUGGAUUUCAUGGUUUCCCUUCAUAGAAGUUUCGAUUCCAAUGCGUAGUCAGAUCAGAUGCAUAAAUGUGCAAGACGCCGGCUGAUUAAAAUAUGGCUACAAGAGGAUAUAUAUUUAGAGAGAAUUCAAAUCCUUCUAAGUAAAUUUUAUUGUUUGGAUGAUUAAUUUAGAGAAUUUUUUAAUUUAAUGAAAUUUUAUAAAGUAUUUUGUUCAAGUUAAAUUGAGUGAAUUUCAAAUGACAAAUAAGAUCUAGGAAUUUCAAAUUUCAAGUAUCAUUGUAACAUACAUUUUACUUUGAAAACCUGGUUACUUUUUCUUAUCUAGUUAAAAUAAAUAAAUUUCAAGUAUUGUAAGUGCUGGGUUGAAAGAGAUGUGGUUUGAUCAUUAUGUAGGAUAAAAAAAAUAAAAAAAUAAAAAAAUAAAAUAAAAAAAUCAUGAAUAAAUGUUACUCACUCCAUCUCAAAAUAUAUAAUUUGCUGAGUUUCUGCCUAAUUUCAAUACAUGAUAAUUAGUCUAACAGAUAACUUAGUCUGCAUGAUGCCAAGUUGAUUUCCAAAUUUGGCAUACGGCAUAAAAUACCUUACCUUCCCCAGUCAGUUUGGCAAAGUGGUAAGUUCUUAUUGGUUGUCAGUGUGAAAGAAAUUUACACCGACAGUGCAUGCCCCUAACUCUAUUGAUAAAUGGUAUUUUACAAUGAUCUGAGUAUAGUUUUGACAGUUGACAUCAUUGGAAUGGGAAAUUUUUAGUUGACAAUGCCAAAUACAGUAAGAACUGUAAACAAUAGAACCAACAUUAUAGACUGUUAUUUUGUGGGAAACACCAAUAUCUUAGACCUGUAUCAUUUAAACAGGAAAACCCAUUUACAGAACCAUUGUUCUUCUUAUGUUUCUUUCAUAUGACUCAACCAUGAAAAUCGAGCAGCUACUGCAGAAAGGGGAAAGAGAAACGGGAAUGAAAAUUCUUUUGGCGGUAAAGCGUAUUAUGCUUGGAGAAAGUGGCGCUUCAACCAUUAUGAUCAAGAACAUGAAACCACAAGGGAAUAGGGAUCCAUACACAAAUUGAUUAAUAUACCAACAAGUUCAGCACAAAAAAACUGAAUAAAAUUAGGAAUAUUUCUGAAAUGGUAUAAGUAACAAGCAACGUAUCACAAGAUUUUACAUGAAAAACAGGAGAAAGAGAUCACAACAUUUCUGACUUGUAUUAUUCUUUUGACCCUCUUAGCAAGUGCCUCAAAAAAAGACCUGUCCAGGAAUCAUGAGAAUUUUAAAACAAUUAUUCAUUUGAAGGAUUAAACUCUUUCUAUAUCAAAAUAAACUAAUAUGGAAUUUAUAAUUAGAAAGUAGAUGAGAAGAUUCAUACCGAUUGAACAGCAAGGAUGUUUCUGGUCAUCUUCAUUUUCAAUGUUGGAGCUUAUGACUUCACCUCCAAUUGCUGAAGGCUGUAACUCAUCAUUAUAAUUUUCCUGGCCAUCUUCAAUUUCAUUGUUAGACCAAUAAGACCUGUCAGAAUAUUGAUUACUGAAUUUUAAUUUACCAAUUUCCCUACCAGCCAGAUCCGACUUAUGUUCUAAGUUAUAUACAGGUAAGAUCCCACACCCUUUGAUCCCCUCCGUUGACCACCCCAAUUCUACGUUAUGUAUGAAUUGAAAUGAUAGUUUACAAUCAUUACUUCCAAAUUUUUCUCUUUUGUAACAAUACCAACAUAACAAUACAUGAUCUGAAAUUAAUCUCACAAUAUAAAGGGCAAAACAAAUAAUACACCUGUCGACUUCUUUGCCGUGUUCUAAGAUGAUACAAUGCAGGGGGUGACUCUGAAAAAGGAAGCCCUCAGAAAGAAUGGUGCAGAAUAUGAAACCAGACAGGUUAUAUUUUGGAAUAGGAGGAAUGGUUAUUGAAGCCUUCAUUGUUUGAAAAUCAAACUUGCAAGGAACUUGUGCUCCUGGCCAGAAAAGGUAAUUGGCAUCUUUAUUUACAUGAAAAGGGUCUUUAGAGAAAAUUUGUACCAUGUUCUCAAGAAAUGACCGUUGAGUGGAGUCUGUAUCCAGAUAAGUGCAAUUAAUGCCACUCAAAGUUAUUAGGGAUGACGGAAGUUCUGUUAGAGACACAAGUUUCCUGCAACCAUCUAAAUCAAGCCAUUUUAGCAUUGAAUGGUUUCGGAUAUUCUCAGGGAGACAUUCCAAGUUGCAACACUCUUGUAAUGUUAGCCCUUUUAAAGAUUGUAUGCCAUCAAGGAUGGACCACAGACUUAAUGCAUUCAUUUCUGUGCACCCUGAAAGGUCUAGUUCUGUAACAGACCCAAGUCCAUGAUCAUCUGAUAACUUAUUCCCAACAAUGUUAAGCUUGUUACACUUGGAUAGGCCAAGCGAAGUAAGUUUUCUAUUACGCCAAAUCGAUGAAGACAAUUCACGUAUAGCAGUGCCACCUAAGGUCAACUCUGUCAUUUCAUCCGAUGUCACUGAAAAUUCUGUGAGAGAAUAACAACCAUCAAGUAAGAGUUCACGAAGAGAUUUUGAAUGAAUGUUGGUUUUAAGGCUUUCAAUCUUUUUGCAACCUCGUAAAUCUAGAUAUCUAAGAUCAGGGAGAGAAAAGAUAGAAGAAUGGAGCUGACCCAGGCUUUCACAUUGAAAAAGAUAUACUCUAUGAAGAUUUGUAGCCUUAGAUAAGUCUGGGAUCUCAAUCAGAUUUUUGGAGGAUUCAAGCCAAAGUAUGUUUAGAUUCACAAGAUUCUGUAACAAGAAAUAAAAACACCAUUUAAAUUCAUAAAUAGAGAAACUAAACCUAAUUAAGCAUAAAUAGAGACUUUUUAAGAAUGAGCAUUAGACUUCCUCUCAUACUUCAAAAAAUUAACAAGUAUAUCCAAACACAUUUGUACCUGAACUCCAUCCCAUAGCUUUUUAAGCUUGCUAUGACUCAAGUGAAGCUCUAUGAGCAUUUCAGCACAAAAGGUUGAUGGCAAAAACUCAAGACAGUAUCCUUCCCAUCGAAGAUACCUCAAUUUAUCAGAAAUCCACUCAAGACCAUCGGGAAAGUACACAUUGCAUGUGUUUCCUCUAGAUAUAUUAUAGAUUUUAAGAUAUCUUAAAUUUUUCAUCCUUCUAAAGGAAUUAGACUUCAAGUAAAGAUCCCCCACAUCUGUACUAUCGAAUGUUAUCCCUUCGACAGCUUCAGUUCCCUGAUAAAAAUUACAUUAAUAAUUAGGAAUGAUUGUCACAUAUACUUUCCUUGUUAUAUUUCAUAAUCACAUAGAUGUGUUAUUUUGAUGUAGAAGGGAAUAGAUCCUCUACUUACUUUGUUAUAUUUUAAUACAUCGGAUAUCUCUUCAGCUUUCCACAGUCGACUUCGUUUUCCAGGAUCUUCAGAUUCUUGAUUAACAAUCUCCCGUCCCAUUUCUUGUAACAAAUCAUGCAUUUCUAUAGUACAAACUUCCCUUUUGACAUGCAAAAUUGAAUCUAGUUGAAUGAGAGCUUUAUCUAGAAGGACGUCUAUCCCACUUAUUGCAAAGAAAUCAGAAGCUUCCAGUAGAUCUCUUACAAAAUCUUUACCCUGUCCACUCAACAAGCAUGCGAUGUCUAGAAAUAUGGCCUUUUGACAACGAUCUAACUCAUCAUAACUCAAUUUUAACACAUUAUGAAUUUUUCGAUUGGGAAUCUUUUGGAGCUUUUUCAAUUCAUUUUCCCACGCUUCUUGGCCCCUUGAACUGAGAUUUGCACCUAAAACUUUUAAUGCCAGAGGGUUACCUUUGCAAUAGGCAAUUACACUUUCUGAUAGAUCUUCAUAUCCAAUUUUAGGUUGUUUUUCUUUGAAGGCAGUCAAACUGAAUAGCUGAAAAGAAUCAUGCUUGUUCAAUUCUUUAAGCUCAUAUAUUUCACAUUUACUCACCUGACUAAAUAUGUGCUUAUCUCUAGUUGUAAUAAUGACCCUACUACCUGGUCCCAGACCAUCAAUUUUUGGGAUAAGAUCAUCUAUUUGCUCUAAGGUUUCUACACCAUCCAACACAAUUAAAACUUUUUUACGCCCAAUCCUUCUCUCGGAGAAAGGGGCUUCUAUGUAGGAUGCAUCAGGAUGAAUAUUUUCUUCCUCUAACAAUGAAGACAAAAGUUUAUUGAGUACAACAUUAAGUCCAUACUUGUUUGAUUCAUCCAUUACAUUGAGUAAGCAACAACCUUCGAAUUGAGAAUACAUUUUAGCAUAUAAAGCCCUAGCAAGGGUGGUCUUUCCUAUGCCACCCAUGCCCCAUAUUCCAAGGACUCUGACUUCAUGUGACCCAAUUUUCAGCUUUGAUUCAAUUUGGUCAUAAUUUUUCUCAAUUCCAACAAGCCCGGCCUUAAUUUCAUAUGGGUAUUUAAGAUUCAGUUUCUGCAAAACAUCUUCAACGAUAUCCUUAAUGAAGCGUGAUUCAGUCCUAGCAUACGAAAGAGGGGAAGAAGGUUUGAUAAGUCUACAAAUACAAUGGAAGGAAAAUACAUCUAUAUGAUUGGUAAAUAAAAUUUAUAGUCGACAUGGUGGCACUGGCAGUUCCUUAGCAGAGCAAGAAAGAAAGAAAAUUAGAUUUGAGGAAAUAAAUACCAAUGAUAGAGAAUGUAAUUAAUGUCUAAAUUUUCUAGGAAGUGAAAUCCUAAUGAAAAUUCGAAAAAAAUAAAUAAAUGUUUUAUGCUAGAAAUAUAACACAACUGUGUGGGAUGGAUAGUGCAGAUUUCAAAAAUUGUGUGUAUGCAGGGUACAAGCAUAUGAUUAUUAAAUAGUUUUCAGAAGGUCAUAUCAACUAUGGCCAGGCACAUAAACAUCAUUGUUCACUUCUCCAAAUAAUUCGGCCUGUUUACUUUCUAAAAUUAAUUUUAGCUUUCAUUUUUUAAAAUCUAUGUUCAUUUCCAACCAUGAAUAAGGAGAUGAAAGACUCAUGUAGUAUAUAAUUGUGCUAUAUUAGAAAACAAAACAUGAAAAUUAUAUAAAAUAGUUUAUUGGUUUUACUUAGAAUUUUGAGAACAUACAAGUCAUGGCAUGUACAAAGCUCGAUAGUUCGUUUUACUUACUCAAAAUUUUGAAAGUCCCAACCGCCUAAACUAGCUGCCUCAGUGAGAGCGGCUUUCCAUUCCUGUAACUUGUCAUUAUUGCUCUUCAAAUCUCGCUUAUGUUUUGCAAAAGCUUGCUCGUAACUCCCGGUCUGGUUCCUCACAUGUGAUGGAUCUAUUUUGUAAAAAACUGGUAUCACAAUGUGUUCCUUAUAUUUCUUGCAUUCAAGAAUCUUCUUGAGCUCAUUCAAGCACCAUUUUGAAGAAGCAUAGUUUUCUGAGAAGAUGACAAUAGAUGCAUGUGACUUCUCAAUGGCUUUGAUGAGUGCUGGCGAGAUCUCAUCUCCUUUUUGAAGCUUAUUGUUGUCUAUAAAGGUUUCAACUUUCUUUCGGCUCAGAGCAUCAUAAAGAUGGCUGGUGAAGUUUCUGCGAGUAUCCUCACCUCGAAAGCUAAGAAAAACGUCAUAUUUUUUCAGAGGCACCACAUCAGAAGAAGAUAUGGAAGAAAAAGCACUGCUCAUUUUCUACCUAGUGAUUAUGAAUUCCAAGUGCCUGCACUAAUCACAAUGCUACACUCAAAAAUAAAAUAAAAAUUUAUGUUUAAAUGUGUUCUUGAUACUUGUCAAUGAUAUUUUUGACAGGUACUCGGUUCAUAUAUCUGAUUGACAUCAGAUCAAGCAGUUCAAGGUUCACAUAUUGCUCAUCUAUGGAUAUAAUAAAUAAACAGCAUUUGUUAUUUCAAGUCGUUUGUGAUUCUUGGAAAUUUGUUUGUCUUAUAUUAAUGGCUUGCUUAUGAUGUGGAAAACCUAUACAGUUAUUUUGAAGAUGAAAAAACUUGAAUAGACAUUAAAAGCUUAAUGACAUGAAAUAGUAAAGAAUCUUAACAUUUUUUUGAAUGACAAAUCCUAGUAGUUAGUUGUUAGAUUAAGUAUUGACUAUUUCGUCCAGGUUUGAACCGAGAGUCUCCAACUUCUUAUCCGUGAGUUCAAAUUUCAAACCAGUUGAGCUACUCAACCUCCCAAAUAAAAAAACUUAACUCAGAUUAAGUGAAGAGCAACCAAAAUAAAACAUAGAAUUCAAUUCAAGCAACAAGGUUAAGCAUCAUUGGAGUCCAUACAUAAAAUUAGUCAUAAAUAACCAGCCUAUGAAUGUAAAGCAAAAACAAAUCUGGCCCAUGUAUGAUACUUUUUUCUCAAGCAGCAUUUUCAGAUACAAAACAGAGUAAUUUCCUAAUCAGUAAAAAUGGGGUACAAAUAAGAAAUAUGAAGACUAAUUAAACAUUCAUAUACAAUUCUUGAAGACCAAUUUAAUCUUAUAAGUUAAAUUAAAAUUGAUGGAAAAAAGAUGAUACCAAAGUCAGAUCCAGCUUAAUGCAAUAGAGGAGAAAAAGACUGUAUGGCUUAGCUUCUGCUGGAAUCAAUUUUGGAUCAAAAUAACAAAUGUGAUUUCACUGUUAUGCAAUCCUAAGUAAAAUGGCUUCAUUGCUCUUUAACAGAUACCAUAAGAUAAAAUAUACUGUAACAUACAGUAACCUUGUUGACUUGGGGGCUUCACUUGGGUUCCAACUACUUUUAAGUUUUAACCAGAAAAAUAAAUACAUGUGUAUUUAAGGCCACAAGAUUAAAUACAAACUUUAUCUUAAAAAUAACUCAUUCAACAUCUAAAAUUUAUAAAAUUGAUUUUUUUUUUAAAAUAGAAUUUAUCACUUGUUUCCUUUUUAGUUUUAUACUAAAUGUUUAGCUCAGUUGAUACAGUGCAUAAUAUAUGCAAAAUCCAGGGUUCGAAUAUUGGACGCCAUCAAAAAGAAAUGUUUUUAAAAAGUUAUUAACAAGAUUUUUUCAUGGUAAAUUCUAUCCACUAAACUACUUGAUAAAAAAAAUAUAAAAAAAAAAAAAAAAGACAGCAUCCAUAUUGACGUUAGUAAAUCUUAUGAUAAUUUAUCGAAAAAAUAAUAAUAAAUAAGAAUUUACAUAGAUAUGUUAUUUCGGCCAUACCCCAGUGAAAGUUGAGAAUAGAUAAAAGGUGUUUGUAUUUGACAUUUUUGUCGAAUAUCUAUACUUUUAAAAAAUUAAAAAAAUACAUGGUUUUUGGAAUAACUUUUUCAUUUCUAAUUAUACCUCUAAGCAAAUCUGUCUAGAAGAAAUAGAAGAAAUAUAUAAUUGAAUCCUGUCAUCUUUUAAUUUUUCUAAUUACAUUUCAUGUAUUCAUGGUUACACACUAAAAUGAUAAAAUUAUCCUUAAAUAAAAUUUAAUUUAAUCUUAAACUCGGUUUAAGUAGGUCAUGUAAACUUAAUUUUAGUAGACAAUGUAAACUGAGUUUAAGUGUAACACUUUAAGUAAGUUAUAUAAACUUAGCUUAAGUAGGUCAUGUAAAAUGAUCAGUUUAAGUGUACAUACUAAAAGUUAAAUUUUGCUUUAACCUCUUCAACCUUGUUUAAUGAUUCUACAUAAUCUUAUUUUAAGUAUGUACUUGUAAACUCAACUUAGGUAGACUAUGUGACUAAAUUUACAUGUACCCACUUAAACUGAAUUUAAGUUAACCUCAACGAUGUUAAUUAACGUUGUUUAUGUUGCACCAUUAAAUAAUCGUGUUGUAAAGUGCAUAACAUAUCAACGUUUGAACAACAAAGAAAAAAAAUCGAAACUCUAGCAUCAAUGAAAAAGAAGAAGAAAUUCAAUUAUUUAUAUGCAAUAGAGUAUGGACGAAAGAUGUUUUGAUUCACUCUUUAAUCUUCUAUAUAGAUUGAUUGACCAUCCAUAAUUGUUUGUGGGGGAAAGCGGGUGAAAUUUUAGAGUGACAAUGAAUGAAAUCAAGGUUUUAAGAAAAUUUAUAUAAAAGAACAAUUUUAAUUUUAUUAUAAAAUUUUAAGUAAAUAUAUGUGUAAUAAGAAAUACAUAGGAUGUAAAAAGAAAAACUCUUGUUAUCAUCAAAACUCAAAGUGGUGUUGUCAAACACAUUUUAUUCCAACAAUAUGUUCGAUAAAACGCAUACAAGUCUGGGAUCAUCCUUGACUUUAUAAUGUUGCGUGCAUUUUACCAACUACUUAUCAACAUUUGUAGUGGCCAUAUAUCAUUGUUUUAAACCUGUUGAUUACACCUAAGCAGCAAUGGAGCUAAUUAAUGGAUUUUUUUGACAAUAAUAGAACCAUAACUACAUGACUGCCUACUUGGAAGCUUGAGAAUGAUGGUGUUUAUACAGUUAAGAAUCCAUACAAGGACAUUAUGAAUCAUGAUAUGGCCCUUUUGCAACAUCGUGUGCCGAGAAAUUGGAAUUAUGUUUGAGUUUAAAGUUGCCACCGUAGCUACCACAAUUGUUUGCCUACUACAAUUCGAUUGCAAUUGAAAGGUGUUUCGUGUACUGAUUUGUGCGCGAUGUGUGAAGACUUUGGUGAAGAUAAUACUUAUUUGUUUUUAUGUGUAGUAAAAGUGUGCUUUGUUGGAAGCACACGAUUUUGGAUUCCUUUGAUGGUAGUCUUCGAUCUUGCUGCAAGUUUCUCGAAAAAUGUGUUUUCUAUUCUAUAACAUCUGGACCAGCAGCAAAAACAAAUCUUUGGUGUGACGCUAUGGAGUAUUUGGAAGAAUAGAAAUAACAAGGUUUGUAACAAUGUUACUGAAACAUCUCAAACUAUUUGUGAACGUGCACGUUCCUUCUCGCUAGCUGGAUGAAUGCCCAAACUAUUCGACACCAUACUUUUCGGCAUUCCAUUACACAGAGCGAUCUACAUAUUGACAUAACCAAGUCCCGACAGGUUCAAAUGCAAUGUAGAUGCUUUCUUUUCUCAUGCUCUGAAUCGAGUCGGGCUAGGUAUGUGUAUUCGAGAUGAUUGUUGAACCAAAAAUCUUUUUGAUGAAUGUUUUAAUAAUAACAAACUUUAUGGAAUAAACACUAAGUUUUAUGAAUGGUGAUCUACUGAUGUUUGCACUUAAGUCUUUUCCGAGAAGUAAACAAGAAAUAAGUCUUUUACAAGUGCAUAGAUAUAUUCAAUGAAAGAAUACCAAAACAAUAGCAUCACAAGCUCAAAGAAGAUAUAGAAAAAAUAUUGUUUGAAUCAAAUGAGUAUUGAUUGAAGAUUCAACAAGAAGAUGUAUUUUAUGAUCAAUUGACUCAUCCUCAUCACCACAUGGUUUUCAACAAAGCAUUAAAAAAUUUGAGGAAUAAAGGGUUAAUAUUUGAAAGACACUUAAUGAACAAGAAACAUUGUGUGGAAUCACUAAGAGGAACUAUGAGAAGAAUUGUAUCAUCAAACAAUUCAAGGUUAAUUGACCAAGAAGAUAUUGUCUUCUUAUAUAGAAGAGAACAUUAUCAACUUUGAUGAAAAGAAGGUUCUCAUGAUGAAGAUGAUUAUUACACUCGAAAUAAUUAGAAUCAACUUUGAAGAGAAACCAACCGAUGAAUAAAUUAUUUAUUAAGUCAUUCAUUAAUUGGAGAACUAUCAAGGAAGACAAAUCAUGAUCAUAUGCAUGAAGAUUCUAUCAUAAAAGACUUAGGAUGAUCCAAGAAUCUUCAAUCAUUUUUCAAGAUAUAAUUUGGGAGAAUAGAAAUCAAUAAAAGGAAUUUUUACUUUGAGAAAGGUUUCUCAUGUUCUUACAAAAGAACAUUAUGGUCAUAAAAAGUGAAGAGAACACCUUCACUUUAUGUUUUUAAAGAUAACACAUAUUUACAUUUAUUAUCUUGUUAUCUACUAAUGUGAGAAUGUUUCAGUGAGAAUGUUCUCAAGAACGUUCUGACCUCGCAAAGAUAACAAAACAUCUUUAACAAAGCAAAUGACAAAAAUCAUCUUUUGAUAAAUGUCAAGAAUGUGCAUAAUCAAAGAUCAAGAAUAAUUGUUAUUCUCUUUGUCUCACCAAAAGAAGGAUCAAUGAUCAUAAAAAUCAAGAUCCUUAAAGGCAUUAAAUGGCAAGAAAUCAAGACAAAUCAAAGCAUUAUGGCACAUGGGCCAUGAUAGCAAAAGAACAAAGAUUAAAUCAUAAUGGCCUUAAAAGAGUGAAAAGAUUCAUUAAAGAAAGGCUUAAAUAUGAUAUUAGUCCCUGUAAUUUGGGUCGGUUUUGAAUUUCGUCCCUGUAAAAAAAAAACUUUGAAUUACAUCCCUGUAAAAAAAAAUUUGUUUGAAAAAGGUCUAUGGCCCCACAUUUUUGAUGAUAUGGCAUGGGUUUUGCCACAUGGCAGUUGCUGACUGUGCAACUUAUGCCACAUGGCGCUGACGUGGCAUGCCACAUAAUAUUAAAUUUAAAAAAAUAAUUUUUAAAUUCUAAAAAUUGUUUUUAAAAUUUAAAAAUAUAAAAAAAAAAUCUGAAAAAAAUUUAAAAAUAUUAAAAUUAUUUUUAUCAUAUAAUUUUCAAAAAAAUUUUUUUUUUUAAAUUAUAAAAUCUGAAAUUUCUGAAAAAAAAAAAUGAAAUGAUUUUUUUUUAAAAUAUGAAGAAAAAAAUAUAAUUUUCAAAUUAAAAAAAAUUAAUGAUCGAAAAUUUAAUUUUAACUGUUUUUUUUCGAUUUUUUAAAUGAUUUUUGAAUUUAUUUUCAUAUUUUUUUAAAUUUUUUAAUUACGUGGCUGCCACGUGGCAAAACCUAUGCCAUAUCAUAAAAAAUGUGGGGCCAGGGACCUUUUUCAAACAAAAAAAAAAUUUACAGGGAUGUUUUUCAAACUUUUAUUUUACAGGGACGAAAAUGAUAUUUAAGCCUUAAAGAAAUAUCUCAAAGUUGUUCCUUGUGGAAAAAGCAUAUGACAUCAUCAUAUAGCAUAAAGAUGACAUAAACACAUCUUAUCAAGUGGCUAGCAAGCUUCUACAACAAUAUUACAGCUGAUAACAACUUGCAAAACGUGUUCCUUCUUUGUACAAGUUUGGCUGGUACAGAGAGAACGUUAUGGAGAACGUUCUGGGUAAGAAAAACCAUCAAAGAAAGAUCUCAAAGUUGUGCCUUAGCAUAUGACAUCAUGCAAUGACAUCAAGCUUGCAUCAUCUUAAGUGGCCUCCAAGGCUUCUACAAUCAGGCAUAUAACUCGUUACAUCUUGCAAAAACGUGUUGCUCUGUGCCCAAGUUAUGGCUGGAAUAGAGAGAACGUUCUCGGUGAACAGUUUCAUGCUUUCUCUCCAAGCAUCAAAUGGAGCCAAUUUAUUUUGAAUUUGAAUUGAGCUCCAAUAGCUCUUUUUUGACUUGUUCUCCAAGGAUACAUCUCCUAUAAAUAGAGGACGUCCAUGAAGGUUAAUAGCAAGAGUUUUGAUAUACAAAAGCUUUGACAUCUCUCUCUCUCUCAAAGCUAAAGAAAUCAUUAUCUUCAUCAAUCUCUUUAACAUCUCUUUCGACAAUCACAAAGCAAACUCCAUAAUCUUUCACUAUAUUUAUCAUCUUUAUCUCUCAUUGAGAACAUCUUUCUGAGUUUGUAUUUGUACAAGGAUAGUUUGUUUGAGACGCUAGAUCCAAACAACAUCUUUCUCAUUUUCGUUUGAGACAUUAGAUCCAAACAAUCAUCUUACAAAGAGAUAACUAGAUCUCAAGUCUAUUGGGCUUAAUAGUUUGAGAUAGGAAGAGUUCCAAGCUUUCUUGUGCAAAAGCAAAGAAUUGUAGAAGCCUGCUGAGGUUGAUAAUACAAGGGUUACAGACUGAUCUGGUGUGAUCAAGACCUUAUAGUGUUGGUUAGAAGUUUCUACCAACUGAAUACUAUAGUGGAUAAUCUCACACGAAAUGUGGGGACUGUGGAAGUAACCGGGAUUGGUGAACCAGGAUAACUCUCCUGUGUUAUUCUUCUUUCUCUCUCCCUCUCUAUCUUUUAUUUUUACACAAUAUGCACACACUAUCACACUCAUUAAUAUUUAUAACUCCUCUCUCCCUCCCUCUCUCCUGUGUUAUUCUUCUUUCUCUCUCCCUCUCUCUAUCUCUAAGAUAUUCUGGUCCUAAUUAAUCACAACCAAAUUAAUCCAGAGUUCUCUGGUCGUUAAAUAACCAUUAAUAUUGUUUUAUCAUUCAGCUUAAUAAUUAAUUAUAACUGCUUUAUAUUUAUCCAGAGUUCUCUCGUCCUUAAUUAACCAUAAGAUUAUUUUAUCAUUCAGUUUAAAUAAUUAAUUAUAUAAUUAUUAUCCAGAACAUUCUGGUCCUUAGUAAAACUGCUUAAUUAUUUAAACCUUACUUUAUCCAAAACAUUCUGGUCCUUGAUAAAACAAUUGUUUAAAUAUCUAAAUAUUUUAUAAUCUUCUUUUAUCUAACAUUUACCAAGAAUUUUCUUGAGUACAUAAACUUGUUAAGUUUCAGGAUUAAAUUUAAAAAGGGUCACAAUUCAAACCCCCCCUUUCUUGUGACUAUUUCUUCCACUUCAAUGAUGAGAGGUUGUUUUGUGUUACCUAAAACCAAAUGGUUGACUCCGGUCCUUGAUGUGGACUUGAAGAGGCUUUAGGUUUAUUAUAAACAUUGUAUUGGGUGCGUGAUCUAUAGCUAGGUAUUGUGGAUUUUGGCCUUGAUUCCAAAAAUGUGGUGGAUAGUCUCUAUGGUAGAAAAAGUAACGUUACUAAUUAUAGUGCAGUUAUAAUUGAUUGUAGACGCAUGUUAGCUUGUGAUUUAGCAAUUGAUGAUGUUAGGUUUAAUCAGAGACAAGCCUACGAAGUCGCUGAUGUUAGUUUCUAUAUUCAUACUAAGAUUACAUCGUGUAUCUCAACUAUUAUGCAAUAAGUUUCUUUAUGUCUAAAAAUAAUAAUUCAUUUUCUACUCAUUGUCCAAGAGUAGCACCUCUUAAGCAACCAUACAUCAACACCACUUCAGCGCCACCGUCAAGGGCACCACCAAACAAUGACUCUACCAUAACUCUUACAUCCUCGCCGUAGUCAAAGUCAUUGAAUCCCACCCCCAUCGUCGAUCUAUGAUUUUCCCCUGGUUCCGUCCUGGCCUCGACCAAAACUACAAUCGCCACCAUAAAAGGUUCUAUCUUCACUCCCGUCAUCGGCACCACCUCCAAAACCACCUAAUUGCAUCUCUAUUUACGGAAUCAUUGACUUUGAGGACAAGGUCAAUUUUGAAGAGCAGAGUAGUGAUAACAUUAACCAAGAGGAAGAAAUUUCGGAUAACGUAUAACAAAUGAUGUUAAAGUGAAGGGAUUGCAUUACUAUCCAGGAACAAUAAGAUUAGCAGAUAAUAAUAGGAAGGUAGUUUUAUAUUUGUUUGUUAUGUUCUGAGUAAUAAUAGAUAAUUUAGUUGUAUAUCCUUAGAUAUUAAUAACUUCGUUUUUUUUUGUCAAAUUGUCUAGUGGUUAAAACUCACAUAUUUUUUAUUAAAAAAAAAAUAACUAACACAUUUUAAAUAUGGACAUAAGUAUUUCGUGAUUAUAUAUUACCGAAACUUCUCUGAAGGACAUAAAUCUAUAUUUCAUUUCUUGAUUGCUUUUCAGAGAAGUUUCGAUAAUAUAUAAUACAAUAACAAUAUUGACUUGGGUUCCAGUCUACUUUCUAUAAAAAAUAAAAAAUAAAAUGGGUUUAUGCCACGUUGUAUAAAAUAACAAUAAUAAAAUAAAUAUAAUAACCAUAUUAAUUAAUAAAAAACAAAGAUAAGAAAUGUGAUUAAGAAAGGAAGGAAGGAAAAAUCCAAAGUGUCUUCUAGGAGCAAAGGUGUCAUGACAUUAUUAUUAGUAUUUUUAUGGAACAAUAUUUAGGGUAGCAUGCCUCAUUCUAGUUAAGAAAAAAUUCAAGGUUCAAUAAAUGCUUGCAUAAAUUCUUACAUACUAUUCAUUAAUUAAAUAUAAGUUGUAUUCUUACUAAAUUGCUGACAUGACAUUAUUCUUUAACAAGCAUACAAAAGAUAUGACAUUAGAGAUAGUGACCCUUUAAGUAAAAAUAUGUACAUCCUCUAGUUAAUAUUAUAAACAAAAAUUAGCAUUUUAUAUUCAUUCAUUAAAUUAUAUAUGUGGUUAAUAAUAAAGACUAUAUACAUUAUUUAAUGAAUGAAUUUGUCAAUAUGCGUGGUCAGAUCAGAUGCAUAAAUGUGUAAGACGCUGGGUGAAUAAAAGAUCUGGAGUACAAAUCCGAACCACCAAAAAAAACUUACAUUGUGAAUUCAAUUUCCUAUAUUAAAACUUACGGUGUGAAUCUAAUUUCCUGUAUUAAAACUUAAGGUGUGAAUCUAAUUUUCUAUAUUAAACUAAAUAGCUGUUAGAUGAGGUCCAUUUCUUUUUAUUUGUUUCUUACCAAUCAAUUUCAGUAACCUUUAAACAAAUGUCAUAUUGUUGAAUCGUGAACUUUCUUCACACGUUCAAUGGCUGGUCCAAUUUAGAAAAUAUUAAUGAAUACAUGCUUUGAUAAAUUAUUUAUCAAAAACUGAUUUAUAUACUUUUUACACACAAGGAAUUGAGUUGGACAAACCCCUUCACUCCGACCUCAUCCCCCAAUCCCUCCCACCGCCAAUUUCAAGUGUGUUUAGCUGAGAAAAAGUUAUGUAAUGUUUUGAAAAAGUUAUAAAGUAUUAUGUUUAAGUUAAAUUGAGUGAAUUUUAAAUGAUAUUUAAGAUCUAAGAAUUUCAAAUUAUUUCCUAUUAGAUAUAUCUUUCAAAAUUUCCAAGUUGGUCCCCAUAUUUUUCAAAAAAAAUAAAUUAACCCUUAAAUAUUUAAAAUAAAUUGCAAAUUGAUCCUUACAAUUUCUUGAAAAUUAUAAACCGCUUUCAAUUUUUGAAUUCUACAAAUCAGCCCUCAAUUUUUCAAUUUUUCAAUUUGGCCCAAAAUUUUAUAAAAUAUAAAAGUAAGUAGCACAAAAAUAUAACUGAAGUAUUUUAUCACUGUAUCCAAACAAAAAUAUUAAAAAAUAAAGGGAUCUAGCGUCGAUCAUCUCACAAGGUGUUGGGAUGAUUUAUACCGCCGCUAUGAAAAUUAGAACUUUAAGUGCUUGUUUGGUGUAACACUCCUAUUUCUAUUAAAGCAAUUAAACAUGCAAAUAAUACAUUUAUUCAAGAAAUAGAGGCUACGCCACAUUCAAAAUUCAAAAACCAAUAAACAUGUAUAUAAACCUCAACAGUUGCAGCGGAAUAUAAAUCAGAGUAAUCCAAAUGUAUACAUGUCAUGAAUAAUAAAUUACAUCACAUAGAUGCAUCUCAAAAAUCCCAAACAAAACGGAUAAUCUCCAACAUAACAAAAUCCAAAAAUAACCUAAUCUAGACCGACACAACAAGCCUAGAUCAGAGCCAACUCAACACCGAUAUCGGAGAAAGCUCCCGAUAUCCCAAGCACAAACUCACCAAGCACUACUCCUGCACAACGUCUACCCAUCCAUACAGAUAGGUAGGCGGUUAAAACCACUAGGGUAAGUAUUACAUUAUCAUAAUCCAAAUAACAGAUAACAUGAGUAUUUCAAUAUAAACAUCAUGCAUUUGAUCAAUAGUAAUCACACAUUAAUACUUACAUCACAUCCCAAUAUCUCACAUCAAUAAUCAUCAAUCACAUAAACAGUUAACAAUUCACAAAUAUUCAUUCACAAUCUCCAAACACAAAUAUUCAUGAAUAGUCAUUAAUCACAUUUCACGAACAAUCACCAAUCACAUUUAUCAAACAAGACUCAUGUCAUGAUAUGCACUUAUUGACACAUAAAUGCAUGUGGUACCAAAUCUCCAAAAGGUCGUCACCUCCGAUGGAACAACUCAACAUCGUAUGUAAGGGUUCACACCCGCCUUACAUAAUCUCCGAAGUAAAAGAGCACAACCUUUUUACAACUACACGACUAUGAUGCAUGGACAUGUAAAAAAACUAGAUAAUGCGACAACAAUCACAAUUUUCUCCACAAUAUAUAGGAAAACACCCAAUUAUAUUGUUCAUCUCCACAUCAUUUGCAUUAUCAAGAAAACAUGCCCAUUCAUAAUUAAAUCAUAGUAUUCAUCAUUACACAUCAACGUGAUUAUCAAUAAUCAACGAUGUCAUUCAAUCAUCAACUAUCACAUAUAGUUUCACAAAUUCAAACAUUCCUUACAUCUUAAGUAAGAUAGCAUACACUUCUCAUGAUAAUUAUCAUAUCCAAAAUACAAUCAUUCAUUCAUACAACUUCACUUAGUCAUAUAAGAAUGAUCACAACAAUUCAUAAGACAAUACGACUUAAAGAUUCACUAGACCCCCUUUUCACAAGGUUAAUUCUUCCAUAAAAACACCCCUAGAUGAUUAGGAUAAAGUCCCUAUACAUAGAAAUAAGUUUGGAAACAAUUGGAUCAAAGAAAAUUGCAUUUUAAAAGUUUCUGGUCAGGCAAAAUCGUAGUCCGAAUUUUCCCCAUCGUAGUACGAUUUUUUUCGAGCUGAAACAACCCAAAAUCUGGUCAAAAUCGUAGCCCGAUGGAUAAAAUUGUAGUCCGAUUUCUGCCUGACAGACAACAUCAGAUUUUCCAAUUUUCACGUUUUCGCGCGUAAAAACCAAACCGUUAAUCCGUUUUCGGUGCCGUUUUCACCUACUUGUUCAUGACACUUAGCCCUAUCUUAAUGUACAGAAAAAUUCAAGUUUCAACAUUCCCAAAUUCAUUUUUCAAAGCCUUACACAACACUCAUUUUCCAAAACGGUUAACAAUUGAAUUUUCACCCGAAUCUCCCGUUUUCUCCCAAAACGACUCGACUAUCACAACUACAACCUAAAAACAGAAAUUCCAUCAAGUUUAACUCAUCCAACCACAUAGACAACUCAGUCAACAACUUUGUAUAUCAAAUUUCACUUUGGUCCUUCACAUGACCAUCUAGCACAACUUCACCAAUACAAACAACUUACUUCAUGAAAUGGAAUACCCAUGUUAUCAUUCAACAACAUCAACAUAUCUACUUUAACAACACCUCAUUUAGACAUGAAUUCAAUCAUAAUUCAAUUACACAAUAUCCCAAUCCAACAAUUGAGCAAAACACAUAAGUAUCCAUUUUCACCAAACCAACAACAACAACUUAUUUCACAACAACAAACUAUGAAUCAUGCAUACCCAAGCCAUGAAUUAGCAUCCAUAACAUCACUUAACAACAACAACAUCUAUUGAUCAUGAAACAUAUCACAAUUCAUCAACAACCAUCCAUAAUUCACCAUUUGAGCAUAAUUUACAAACUACCCAUUUUCAUACAUCAUGAACUUGCAAUUUCAUAAUCAACAAUUCAUUUAACAUCAAAUUAACACAUUCAAACAUAUCUCUACAACAUAAGCAAGAAUUUCAAAGAUUGGGUUCAUGAUAAUCACUUAUUCCCAUAAUCAAUUAUGCAUAGAACAAGAGAAAAAGAAUUAACUAAAUGAUUAUGAUAAAGACUAACCCCCUUACCUUAGAUGAAGAUUAACCCAAACUCUUGCUUCAAUUCAGCUCCUAAGCUUACCCAAAUUGAUUCCUCAAGCUAUUCUCUUCAAAACCCUUGUUCUUCUCUUCACCUCUUUCUCUCUCUACCUCUCUCUCUAGGAAAAUUUUAUGAAGUGAAUGAAAGAUAUUUUUUUUCUAUGACAACCCUAAUGUUAUCUCCCUUAAUGGGCUUAACUUAGUUUCUAGUGGGCUUAACCCAUUUCUAUUCAAACCACAAAUAUUUCUCUUUAACUAAUAACGGUAAAAUAUAACCAACGGUCACUAAACGGUAAAAACUAAUCACUACACUAGUAACUUAGUAAAAUAAGGGUUCUCACUAAAUAUUAAAGAUAAUUCUUACCAAAAUUUCCAUUUUACCCUUACCCGCCAAAUGACCAAAUACCCUUCUAAUACGGUAAUCUAUGUAAAUGCACCCAAUGACAAUUAAAUACACACAAGCACAAAUAAUCACAAACAAACACAUAAUAAAAGUAAUUAAAAUAAAUCUAGCUAAAAAUCGGGCUGUUACAUUUGGCACCACGUUUUUGGGCUCCAAACGUGGUUUAUUUUUGCCAAACGUGGUGUUGCACUUUUACAUGCUGUUUGGAUGACGAAAAAGCAAGUUUCUGAAAAGCGGUUUAUGUCUCCAAAACGCAAUUUUCUUGAAGCUGGAAUUCGGAGCUUCUACGGCAGAUAAAAACCACGUUUAAGCCUUUAAUUUCUCAAGUGGCAGGUACUUACCUAAUUACCCCUAAAUUCAAGCCUUCAAUUUCUCUUUCUCAUAGUUUUCUUCCUUUUCAUUACUUCACAUCACUUUCAAACUUAAAUUUUCUGCUAAUUGUGAAGAUUUUGCAUAUCCAAGAUUUCAAUUAUCUUCAGCUUUUCCCCAAUUUUUUCAGAUUUCAUGGUUAAUCUCAUUACUCAUGGUAGAUGUGUUGUUUGGGUGAAUUUAUUCCUUCAGCUUUUCCCCUAUAUAUGAUGCUUAUGAGCUACUUGUGAGAACCAUUCCAUUGCUCUGCCAAGGCCUGAAGGUAAAUACAUAUUCAUAUUUUUUUUGCUUUGAUUACUUGCUUCAAUAUUGUUAAUUUCUAUUUCUCUUUGCUCUAUUUGUUACAAGUUUUACAUUAAUUUUUCCAUCCUACAUCAAUGCAUUGUAUGUGUUUGAUAAAUAGUCUCAAAGAAAAAAAAAAUUCUUAUAUUGAUAUGUUUAUGUUGAUGAAUUUUCUUGACCUGUAGAAGUGAUUGUUUUGUUAUUAUUGAUGUUUAUCUUUAUUUUUAUUUUUUUUUAUUUUUUUGUGUUUUUAGCAAGGAGUCUAUUGUUUUUGUUUAAGGUACUUGGUGUGUUCAAAGUAAUUGAAUGAACUAACGUAAGAAAAGAAACUUAUAGCUUCAAGCCAUUGUUGUAAUUCUAAUUUUUGUGCCUUUACAAAAAAUUCCAAAGUAACAGAAUUUCUUCUAACACAAAGUAACAGAACUCACUCUUAGCACAAAGUAACAGAACUUCUUCUUGUAUUGUUUUUGUUUUCUGUUAUCAUUUUCAUUUGCACAAAACAAGGAUAUUGGUGUUAGUUUGAUCAAGUUGCUUAUGUAUAGUUUGUUUCAUUUUUUUUUUUGGGUUAAUAUGUCUUUACCCCCUGUAAUUUGGGCGAGUUUCGGUUUACCUCCUGUAAAAAUAAAAGUUUAGAUUCCAACCCUUUAAUAUGAAGAUUCUUCAAAAAACACCCCUAUAAUAUUAAGAUUCUCCACAAAACACCCCUGACCCCAUCCAGACGCUGAUGUGGCACGCCAUUGUGUAAUUAUUUUAAUUUUUUUUAAAACCUGACACAUGUGUAAUGGACGCUGACUGUAUAAUUUUUUUUAUUUUUUUUUAUUUUUUUAAAGGGUACACGUGGCAUUUGUGAUUUUAAAAAAAAAUAAAAAACGAAAACAAUUAUGGAAAAAUUAAUAAAAAUAAAAAAUAUUCUGAAAAAUAAAAAAAAAUAGCGAAAAAAUUAAUUAAAAUAAAAAAUAUGAUUAAACAAAUUCCGGAAAAUUUAAUAAAAUAAAAAAUAAUCUGAAAAUUUUAAUAAAAAUGAAAAAGAAUCUGGUAAAAUGAAAAAUAAUGAAAAAAAUUUGGAAAAAUUUUAAAAAGUUCUAGAAAAUUUUAAAAAAUAAUAAAAAAAUCUGGAAAAAGUUAAAAAUAUGAGAAAAAAAAUUUAUAUUUCUGGAAAAUUCAGGACCUUAAAAUAUUUCAAAAUUCUUGAAUAUAAUAAGAAAAUAUAUUUUAUUUUUAAAAAAAAAAGGUUCAGAUUUUUCUUUCGAAAUUAAUUUUUUUUUUAUUUUUUUAUACAAAAAAUAAAAAUAUUGGAAAAUAUUUCAAUAAUUAGAAAAACAUAACAUUAGAACAUGAAGAAUAGAAUUAAGGGCUUGUUUUUCAAUAGUAUAACAUGACUUAUAUACCGGUGUCAAUCAAAAUUCAUUGUAUCUUGUUAUUCAUCUAGAUUAUAUUUUCGAAUAAAAUAAAAUUCUAGAAAUAAAUUUUCAUAAUCAAAAUAACUAUAUAAUAUUAUAUUUUUCGAUUUUUUUAUAAUUUAAAUUUAAUUCAGAUUUUUUUUUAUAUUUUUUGAAAAUUUUGAUAUAUAUAAAUUUUUUCCAGAAUUUUUUAUUUUUUUUGAACUUUUUCCAGAUUGUUUUGUUUAUUGUCGUGAUUUUUUUCUUAAAUUUUCUAGAUUUUUUAAUUUUUUCAGAUUUUUUUUAUUAAAUUUUCUAUAUUUUUUCAUAAUUGUUUUUUCAUUUUAAUAAUGUUUCUAGAAUUUAUUAUUUUAUUUUUAUUUUAAAAAAAUAUAUACAAAUGCCACGUGUACCCUUUAAAAAUAAUAAUAAUACAGUCGUCACGCUACAUAAUCAGAUAUGCACAGUCAGCAUGCCAUUUCAGCUCGCCACGUCAGCAAUUCUGUACAGUCACAUAGGUCAGGGGCUAAAGUCAAAUAAUCUUAUUUUACAGGGUUGGAAUCUAAUCUUUUUUUUUACAGGGGGUAAACCGAAACUCGCCUAAAUUACAGGGGGUAAAUACAUAUUAACCUUUUUUUUUUUUUUUAUCAUACUUUUGUGUAUAUAGUAAUAUGGACUCACUUAAGAGAAAAGUUUCUGCUAACCCCCCUUCAACUAACAAUGAGGGUCAAAGUUUCAAAGCUAGUUUAAAUAUUAGUUUGCAAUAAUUUUCAAUAUUAUAUUGCACUUGAACUUAUAUUAUCUAUUAUCUAUAUGUAAUAUACUUUAGAGCCUUGCCAUUUUUUAUACAUAUUUAGAAAUCUAUGAUUAUGUAUUAAUAAUUUACGUAUAUUUUAGUUUACAAUUGUGUAAUUUCUCAUUUGUUUUACAUCUUUUUAUGCUUAUAUUAUUUUAUUAAAAAUCACCCAAUUGAUAAAAAAAAAUAAUAUUAAAAAUAACAUAAAUUUAUAUUAUUUUAAAAUUAAUUUUAGAACCAAUAGAAUUCAUGUAUGAUAAGUUGAAAUAAUUUUUUUUUAUGAGAAUGAGUUUUAAAUACAAUUAAAAUGAUAGUUUAGUCAUUAUACAUUCAAAAUCAAUUUUGAUUCAAACUAUCCAAACAACAUCAACCCGCAAGAAUCACUUUUAGUAUCCAAACAUAAAUCAAUUCACAUUCAACUCACUUUUAACCAAAAUCAAUUCUCUCAAACUCAAUUCUAUCAAAAUCAAUUCUCCUCGCCGCCAUACCAAACACACACUAAGAUUAAGAAGGAAAAGAUGAAGGGAACUGGCUACAAAUGGUAUUAUUAAUGUGGCUUGGUGGAACUCUUUACCCUUCUUUACUAGGGAUGACUUUUAUAAAGACCACUAUGGAUUUUUAAAUUAUCGUUCUCCAUAUCUCUUUGUAUUUUAAUUUUGUUUUUUGUUUUGGUUUGGUCCUCCUCUAGUACGGUUUUUCAUUUUUUUAAUAAUUUUUUUUUAGAUCAAGCUGGCAUAGGAUGGGGUGGUUUUGGAGUGUGAACAUAGUUGGAAUGUCAAACCUUCUUUUGAUGUCUUCUUUUGCUCAUGAUUUAGAAGGAAAAAAAAAAUUUAAUUACAAUAUAUUUCUCUAAAUUGAUUGAUUUCUUUCCUAAAGACACAACAGAAUUAAUCAACUAUAAUUGAUUUAUUUUUUUUACUUGGAUGAAAGUGAUUCAUAUGCCAAACAGAGCCUAAGUAAUUAAAAUAACAAAUUAGUUUAAAAAGGUAACUACCUGGAAUACGCAUUAGAAUGAAUCAGUAUUAGAGAGAUUAGAAACACCAGUAUUGAUUUGUGAGAAAACCAAGAUCUUUGAUCUGUAUCAUUUAAAAAGGAAAGACCAUCAACAGAACCAUUAUCAUUCUUCUUGUCUUUCUUCUUUUUUGACACAAAAUCAUGAAACUUGAGUAGCUAUACUGCAAUAGGGAGAAAAAGGAAGAAGAAAGACGAUUCAUUUAGUGAUGAAGCAGAAGAAGUUUGAAGAAAGUGGUAUUGCUAGCUUCAAUGACAUUGCUGAGGAAAAUAAAUAGAGAUCUAUACACAAAAUUAUGAAAGACAAGAAGAUUCAUACCAAUUGAACAGCAAGGAUGUUUCUGGUCAUCUUCAUUUUCAAUGUUGGAGCUUAUGACUUCACCUCCAAUUGAUGUAGGUUGUAACUCAUCAUUAUAAUUUCCCUGGCCAUCUUCACUUUCAUUGUUAGACCAAUCAGACCCCACACCAAUUUCCCAACCAUCCAGAUUCGACUUAUGUUCUAAGUUAUAUACAGGUAAGACCCCACACCCCUUUAUCCCCUCUGUUGACCACCACAAUUCUUCAUUGAAAUCUUGAUGCAUGAAUUGAAAUGAUAGGUUGCAAUCAUUACUUCCAUGUUUCCGUCUGUUGUAAGGAUGCCAACAUAUCAAUACGUGAUCUGAAAUUAAUGUCCCAUUAUAUUCGUAAACAACAAGAAUACACUUGUCGACUUCUUUGCCGUGUUCAAAGAUGACACAAUGCAGGGGGUGAUUGAGAUCAUGGAAGCCCUUAGAAAGAAUGGUGCAGAAUACGAAACCAGACAGGUUAUAUUUUGGAAUCGGAGGAAUGGUUAUUGAAGCCUUCAUUGUUUGAAAAUCAAACUUGCGAGGAACUUGUGCUCCUGGCAAGAAAUAGACAUCAUAAUAGGAACGGUUAUUGACAUCUUUAUUUGCAUGAAAAGGGUCUUUAGAGAAGAUUUGUACUAUGUUCUCAAGAAAUGACCGUUGAGUGGAGUCUGUGUCCAGAUAAGUGCAAUUAAUGGCACUCAAACAUAAUAGGGAUGGCGGAAGCUCUGUUAGAGACACAAGUUUCCUGCAAUCAUCUAAAACUAGCCAUUUUAGCAUUGAAUGGUUUCGUAUGUUCUCAGGGACACAUUCCAAGUUGCAACAAUCUUGCAAUGAGAGCCGUUUCAAAGAUUGUAUGCCAUCAAGGAUGGACCACAGACUUAAUGCAUUGAUUUCUGUGCACCGUGAAAGGUUUAGUUCUAUAACAGACCCAAGUCCAUGAUCAUCUGAUAACUUAUUCCCAACAAUGUUAAGCUUGUUACACUCGGUUAGGGAAAGAGAAGUAAGUUUUCUGUUACGCCAAAUCGAUGAAGACAAUUCACGUAUAGCAGUGCCAUCUAAGGUCAACUCUGUCAUUUCAUCCGAUGUCACUGAGAAUUCUGUGAGAGAAGAACAACCAUCGAGUAAGAGUUCACAAAGAGAUUUUGAAUGAAUGUUGGUUUUAAGGCUUUCAAUCUUUUUGCAACCUCGUAAAUCUAGAUAUCUA
rnacentral:lncRNA from 1 species